GCCUCCGUGCGGAGAGGUCAUGUCGCAAUGUCGGACGGUCGCGACUCCCCGUCGCAAAGCGGUCUUCGGGACCGUGUCCAUUUCUUUGAGAAAGUAUGGAGUGGACAAUCAAGUAAUGACACAGUAGAUGCUACCACUGACGUUGAUGAAAUAGAGCGACGUAUAGAGCAGCGCAAACGGCGGCCAGAGUCGCCGAAAAUCGAAGUUAAACUUAAACAUACUCGUGAUGGAGAAUCCCCUACAAAGACUUUUGAAUCUAGUUUCCCUAACUUGAAACUAAGGCAUGUGGAACCCGCUGAGGAAGUGGAGAGGAUCGAGCGCCAGGUCGAGGAGGGCGACCUGGCUGCCGGCGUCCGCUUCGUCAAGUUUGAGCGGGUCGUGAAGAGGACUGUGACUGAAACCCGGAGUGAGGACCGGGCGGAGUCACCCCAGCAUGAGUGGUACUCGGAGUACCAACAGCAGACAUGGCAAACUGCUCCCAGGAUGGAAUUCAUGAGGAGCAAAUCGGAAUAUGACUCACACAUUGCAGAAAAGCGCGAUGAACAGGAAAGAGUGCAGAAGAAGACGUUUGUCAAUUGGAUCAAUUCACAUUUAUCGAAGCGCAUACCGCCACUGCGCAUCGAUGACCUAAUAUAUGACCUUCGCGAUGGAACCAAACUAUUGGCGCUGCUCGAAGUGCUGUCCGGGGAGAAGCUGCCUAUGGAAAGAGGCCGCGUCCUGCGACGUCCGCACUUCCUAUCGAACGCGAACACCGCAUUACGUUUCCUUGCCGGCAAGCGCAUCAAGCUGGUCAACAUCAAUGCCGCUGACCUCGUCGACGGCAGGCCUGCUGUCGUGCUCGGCCUUAUCUGGACCAUCAUCCUGUACUUCCAGAUCGAGGAGAACAGCCGGGCUCUAGAAUACCUAGGCGGGUCUAGAUGUGCGUCCGUCAUGUCGCAUGAGUCGGGGGCCGCCACGCCGACUCAGCGCGCCGAGGACAAGUGGAAGCAAGGCGCCAAGAAGACCCUGCUGCAGUGGGUCGCUAAUGCUUUGCCCAAGGAUUCAAACAUCCAAGUAACAGAUUUCGGUCCAUCAUGGCGUGAUGGUAUUGCGUUCCUCGCCAUCAUCGACGCCAUUAAGGCGAACUUGAUCAACUUAGCAGAGAUGAAGAGGAAGACCAAUAGACAACGUUUAGAACACGCGUUUGAUGUCGCUGAGACCGCUCUCGGCAUCGCAAGACUGCUGGAUGCUGAAGAUGUCGACGUUGACAAGCCUGAUGAAAGGUCCAUCAUGACAUACGUAGCCCAGUUCCUGCAUAAAUAUCCUGAACCCAAGACGACAGGACCGGAUGCCGUAGCGGCAGUGCAGGAGGAGUACGAAUCUCUACGGAUGUGGCUGACGGAGCGCGUCACCACAGUCCAGAGGCAAUACGACUCGCGAACUCUCUCGCGGCACUACGAGGACUAUGUCCGCGCAGAGAACGAAAGGCUCUCUAGAGAACCCAUCUACCAGAAGCUAGAGAAACUCAUGUACACGCAGAGCCUUGUAGCCAUCGCGCCCAAGUCCUGGCGCGAACUAGUCUCCCUUUGGAUAGAAUUAGAAAGACUGCACAGAAGAUGGUUGUGGCUUUUAGACUCCGAACUCCCCGGAGACUUUAGAAAUGUCGGCGAGUGGUUAGCGAGGGCCGAAUACCUUUUAUACUUUGACGAAAUACCCACUAGCUUAGACGAGAGGACUGCUGCCAUUAUUAGCGAGAAAUUAGAGGAACACAGCGGCUUCUUCGCUGGUUUACCUGAAGUUAUCGACAGAUUCGAAGCGGCUUUAAGAUCCCCGGACGCCGCGAGGAUACCAGGUGAAAGACUCCAAGACAUGAAGGAGCGUCUAGAGACAGUAAGUCGAAGGGCGCCGCAGAGGAAGGCCAGGUUAAAGUACUUGGAGCACAAGUGUUGUAUCGUAGCCUUCACAGAGCUGACUAAAGCGAAGCUUGCCGCGUGGACCGGCAAGUACGGUCGCAUCGACCACGUCCGUGCCUUAUUAGAAGAUUAUGAUAAUUUCGUGACUAAGAAUAAGAUUUUCCAGGAGUUCGAUAGAGCUUACGUUGAUAUUAAGCAAGUAGCGGAGGAGUACAAGAGGGUGUGUGAAGUAGAUAGGACUGAAGCGAGAGAUAUUGAUACGUUCUUGAAGGACGUCGCGGAGUCUUGGAGACGCGUGGCGUCUGACGUGCGCUGCGCCAGGAGUGUGCUAGAGGAAGUCAUUGCGCAUUGGGAGCGGUGGAACACCUUAGCAGAUGACUUCACCACCUGGCUAGAUAAGGCACAGCAUAUGCUAAGAGUGUCUGAAGAUGAGAGAUUAGAGUUCUUCCAAGACUUGACGGUAUGGAAGGAGAAGCACCAACUGUUGGGUGACGCAGCCGGGUUCCUGGCUGCGACCUGCUCUGAGGAAAUCAGUCAGGAGAUCAAGAGGAAGUACGUUGAGAUCACGGAGCGUUGGGAACGCGUGUGGGAAGAAGCUGAGAGAUACGUCCGCGGCGGCGAUGCUCUACGCAACCGCCGCGAGUUGGCUGCCGGCGUCCACGCGCUGGACUCCUGGCUGUCCGCCGCCGACAACCUGCUGACCAGGCAACCCAGGGCCAACACACAGGACAUACAGGCCUAUAUCGACCAGCUGCUACAGCUUAAUUCGGAGAUUGAACACCAUGAGGAACUGUUUAAGACUAUUAGCAGAACCUUCCAAAACGCGAUCGCUGAGAUGCCCCGCGACGAGGUAGAAGCCAACAUGUCUAAGCUCAAACAGCAGAAGGAAGCUCUCGUCCGAGUGCGGGCCACAGUGCCAGUCAAGCUGCAUCAGUACCGACAGCUGUUAGUGCAGCAUGAGUCGCUGGAGAGCGGGCAGAAGGAGAUAGGAUCCUGGCUCGAUAAGGCUGAGGAGGCCUUGAGGAGUUCCGGAGAGACUAGACGCGAAGUAAUAUCAGAGCGCUACGAGGUCCACCGCACAUUCUUCUCUCGCACCACCUACUACCGCUCCAUGCUGGAGAGCAAGAACAAAGUCUUCCAGAACAUCGUCAAGUCGGCCGAUGCUGACAGGAGCGCUGAUGUUACUGAACAGGUCAAACUGAUGAGGGAUCUUAACGAGAGGUUCGCUCACGUAUCAUCGGAAGCGACCCGUCGUGAAGCCGACUUACAGCGUCUCGUCCGCGCCUGGGAAGACUUCGACGCCAAGAAACGUGCUGUUGAGGAGUGGGCUUCAAGAGCUGAGGCACUGUUGGCCGACAACAGAGUGGACUCCAAGCAGGCCGUUGACUUCCACAAGAGAUUCUUCCAGGGAGCUGAUGAGAGAGCUGUCUCGGAGCUCGUCAGGUCUGGUCGGGAGUUGAUUGAGCUGGUAUCCGAAGAAGACCGUCCAGCCAUCGUACAGACAGUAGAACAGCUACAGCAGCGCUGGCGGUCCCUGCUGGACCGGGCGCCGCCGCACCUCAUGCGGCUGGAGUUCCGCCUCGACGAGACCGUGUUCCACCACUGCAUCAAGGACAUCGACAGGGAGAUCGUGUAUGAGGAGCAGGCGUACAACCAAAGCGACGACGCCGACGGCAUUCUCAUCCGCAACGAAGAAUACUUCCGCAACCAAGGCAAGAUCAUGCAAGUGGAGCACUGUCUCCAAAACCUGCACAAAAUAGCUACCAGCUACACGCAUCAAACUAACGACAAUACUCUAGAAGAAUCCGUGAGAAAAUGCGAACAAAUGUGGGAGUCUACCGUACAAAGGGUAGAACACUUUAGACAGCAGUUGCAGAGGAUUCCGGCUAAAUGGGACGCUUAUAGGGAGAAGUUCCGUGAAAUGGAACGCUGGAUGGACCAUGUGGAUAAGACCAUGGAUAGCAUUGUAAGGGAGGUCGACUCGGCUGAGGCGUUUGAGAGGGAGAAGACUAUCUUCCAGAAUAUCUGCCGCGAAGCCGACAAGAAGCGUGAAGACAUGAAGUGGCUUGUCCAGACUCUUGACAUGCUCACUAACCACUGCUCUGAGGGAGAGGCACAAGAGGAACAAGUACGACUCGAAAACCUUAUCGCGAGGUACAAGAACCUCAUCCCUACCAUCGAGAUCACCAUGAUUAAGACUGAGACCUACACCCGAUGCUACACCUACCGCAGAGAGGUGCACGAAGUUAUUUGUGUACUCGAAAACGCUAAAGAACAAGCCAUGGUUGCCCCAGAGCCUCAGUCACUACAACACGUAGAACAGUUAGUGCUGGAACAACAAGCCGCAGUACAGAAACUCGACCGCCACCGACCCUCAGUCAUGGCAAUGCUACAAAGAGGCAAAGACCUCAUCAAGGAUGCCAACGCACCUGCCUUCGUCAGGGAGGACGUUAAGACCCUCGAGACUGGCUGGAACACAGCUUACGAAACCUCCACGGACCGUCUGCACAAACUGCGUGACACACAGAAAGUAUGGUCCAACUACGAGUAUCAGAAAGAUGAACUGCUCUCAGACCUCGACAAGUAUGAGAGUUAUGUUGUUCACCCAGGACUUGAACUCGGAGUCACCAACAUCGGCCGUGAACUCCAAGAAACGAAGACGAUUAAGACUGACAUUGAAAAGGCGAAGUCUGAAAGACUGCCUCAGUUACAGCAGGCUUACAGCCAGUUACGUACUCUGACAGCAGAUAAACCAAAACCCGUCAUUGAGAAAGAUCUGGAAACUAUUGAACGUAAGCUGGUGAGAGUACAAGAUGAAGUUGACAGCAAGGUCGUGCAUUUAGAGAAGUUCAACGAGGAAUGGGUCAAAAUUGAACACAAACUGGAACAUGUCAGAGAAUGGAUUAAGAAGGAAAGUCCGAUCUUGAUCCAACAAAUUCGUUCUGAGAACAUCACUCCUGAAGAGAGAGUGAUUAAAUCCCAGUCGCUACAGAAAGUCAUUGCUGAAAAACUCGAGACCAUUCGAGGUGUUGCUGACCAAGGAACUAAGUUGGCUGUGGAACAUCGUGUUCAAGAUGCCAACAGACUCAAAGGUGAAGUGGCUUUGUUGGAGAAAAUGAUGGCUGACCUGCAACGUUCAACUGAGCACCAGACUAAAGUGGUUGAACAUGACUUGGCAACAUACCAGAAGUAUCAGAAGGGAGUUGCUGAAAUCAAACCUUGGAUUGAAGAAGCUGAGCUGAAGUUAGGCAACGUCCCUAAACCUACGACAUUGCCUGAGGCUCAGCAACUACAGCAACAGUCUAAGGCUUUGAUUACUGACUGUGAGAAACAGCUGACGAACUUGCAGAUCUUAUCGAGUGUCAGUCACCAGCUGUCCGGUAAGACAAGUGCUCCUGAUGAAGUAGAUGCCAUCCAUUCACGAUGGGCUGUAGUACAUGACUUGGCUGACCAGUGGAACAACAAACUGGACAAACUUGUUACCAACUGGGAGAACUUCGAACGUGAAGCCGAGAAACUGGAGACUUGGAUCGAAAACGGUGAAAAACUGUUGAGUAGCAGAAACGUUUCCAUUGACUCGCCACAAGUUGAGAAGUUAGAUAGAGAGUUGAACAAACUCAAGUCGUUUGGAAACGAGAUUUCACAGCAACAAGCAAAAAUCAUCAGUCUGUCUCAGACCUGUGAUAAUAUCUGCCAUAACAUACAGCCUGAAGGCGCUACUCUACUCAAGAACAAAGUAUCGGACAUCAAGCAACGUACAAACGAUCUCGCUGAGACAGUGAGGUCUCGAGUCAACGAGCUAUCUGACAAGAUCAUUGUCAGACAGGAGUUCAUGACCAAACUACACAACUUUGACAACUGGAUUACAGACUUCAGAAGGAAGACUGAAAGCUACGAUCAAAUCGGUGCCGACAAGGUAGAACCAACGCUACAAUCUAUGCAUGUACUUUUACAAGAACACGCAGCAAAGGCUCCUGAGUUCACUGAAAUAUACAAUGAAAUCAAGAACAUGACGCUCGCUUCACACCCAGACGAAUCUCGGUCGCUAAGCGAAACUUACUCUAACAUUGCCGAACACUAUCAGAUUAUUGAGAACAACAUUCAACAAAACAAAGGAAUUCUACAGAAAUGGUCCGACCUACUCAACUGGUAUGAUGAAUCUAAGCAACAACUGAACCACAUUCAGUACCAGAUUGAAGGUCCAAAACUCACACCAGAGAGUUAUGAAAUUUUGAGACAAGAACUUGUCAAUGUUAUCACCAAAAUACCUGAAUGGAAGAGCAAUGUUGCUCUGUUAGACGGACCUUCAAAGGUCAAGGUAACUGACCAGAACACCGGCCGUAUUAUGUCUCCUACAAGUAUUGUAAAAGAGAUCGAAAAUAAGGCAGAAGCUCUGCUUAGCCAGGUGACCAACAAGAGAGACUUGGUACAGAAAGUAGGCGCUAGAUGGGACAAGUUUAAUGUACAGCACAAUGCUUUGGGAGAAGUAUUGCAUAACGUGCAAUCUGUGCUUAAUGAAAUGUCUCAGAAACCUGUGCCAUUGACUGAAGCUACCAUCCAAGAUAUGACAGAACAGCUAGACAAGUUGGACGCUGAAAUGAAAGAGAAACAGUCCAUCCGUAAGGAGCUGAGAGAAGAAGGACUUCACUUAAUGAGAGAAGAUCAGCCGAACAUGGGCACGAUACAGAAUGCUUUGUCUACUGCUGACAACAACUGGGACCAAGUUGUCAAUGCUGUUCGUGACACUAAGAACAAGUAUAUAUUACUGUCUUCUACUCUACAUGAACUGAAGAACUUCACAGUUGCUUUUGAUAGAGAAAUGAGCAGGGCUGAGCAACUGUACAAUGAAAGCAAGGAUGCGCCUAACGAUUACAUACAAACCGGACAGGCUCUGGAGAAGGCCAAGAAAUCGUAUGAGAUCCUCAAGAGAUCUAAAGGUUUACUAGACCAAAUGGAUGUCAUUAAACAGUCUGUACUCAAACAGGCAUCUACGCUGGGUGGAUUUGAUACCAGCCCUCUCGAGGAAGCAUUCUUGACAUCUCAGACACAAUGGGAGAAGGUCAACGAUGCUGUUAUCAAGAGAAUACAGGAUCUGGAAUCUCAACUCAUAGUUUGGAGACAGAUUGAUGACACUAAGAAUCAAGUCGUCACUUGGCUAAGCGAAACUGGUCAGAACUUGGCCAACGCUUGUGACAACUUAGAAAUCAGAUUCGGACAAAGCCAUCUUACGAAAUACAAGGAAGAACUGCCAAUAUACACUGGUCUUAAAAACAGCAUCAAAGCUAAAUGUGAGCAGAUCACUAAUCUAAAUAAGAGUAUUCCAGUGAGUCAAGUAUCUUCAAUCAUUGACUACUUAGACAACGAGUUUGCCGCUCUGCAGUCACUUGCUGAUAACUUAGAAAGCGCGGUAUCAUCACUUGGAACGAAGGAAACUAAACUGAAGGACCAGAUUAAACGCCUUUCCGACAACGUUAGCAAAAUCCGUGACGAUAUCAUUAAAUGCGAUGACAUGACAGGCGAUAACGCUAAGAUUCUCGAUCGUCUGAAGAAGUGCCAAGCCUGCAAAGCUGAGCUUCAGAACUUGAAUGACGAAAUUGAUAACUUGUCUCAAAAUGUUUCGGAAAUGAACGCUAACUACCCAGGCUUCUACGAAUCAUUAGUACCCAAGGAACUAAGCACUUUGCAGAAGAGAUUUGAGAGUGUCUUAGUACAUGCAAACAAAACUGAAAUCACACUUCUGACAUUCUUGCAAAAACUAUUUACUGACAAGCUUGCUAUGUUCAACAGAAAUUUGAAGAUUUUGGACGACAAGACAAGAUGGUGCAUGCCUGACGUUACUAGUGAUAAGUACAACCUCGAAGUUAAGAGUGCAGCUCUUGUAGACGUUGAAAAUGGCAUCGCUGACUGUAGAGCCAAAGUCGCAGAAUUGAAAGAAGCUCGUGACAUUCUCAAAGUUGUAGCCGAGCCCGCAUGUGCUCAAGAAGCAGCACAACAAACUGAGAAAGCACAGAAGAACCUCGAUGUUCUUAAUGCUAAUUACGAAGAAAUUAAAAACAGAUUGAAAGAGAACAUUGAAGCUUGGCAAGAAUAUGAAGCUUUGUUGGAAAACGUUUCGGAGUGGCUCAAGGAAAAAGAAAACAAGGUGAGGCAAGAAGCUGCCAAUUUACUGAGCUUGGAUGAAAUUGACGCUAAAAUUGCAGAAGUUGAGAACCUUGAUAAAGAAAUCAAGGAAUACGGCUCAGAGGUCAGCAAGCUUACAGAAAUUGGAGAAAAGAUCUUGGCUCGCAAUCCAGACUCACGUGUUUUGCAACACAUUAACCAUUUGGUAUCUAGAUAUCAAACUGUUGGCAAGUUCAUGGAGAGUCAUCUUAACAGGCUCAAGGACUUGAAAGACAACAAAGCCAAGUAUGACAAACAUAUUGCUGACUUCAAGAAUUGGCUACAGGAUGCCAACGGCAAAAUUAAGGACUUAGCAGUUAUGAGCAAACAUGCCAAACCAUCGGCAGCUGAUUUAGCUCAAGUGAAGAAACUCAAUGAGAACAAGGAUGUUGGUCAGAAACUCCUAAAUAAUGCCAUCGAAUCUGGCGAAGCUCUGUUCAGUGGUAUCACACCAGAAUGCCGUGAACAAGUAAGAAAUGAACUGAGGGCUCUCAGAGACUACUUCGAAGAUUCCGUGGAUUCACUCAACAAUGUUAUCAAGGACAUCGAAACAACAAUCAAUAAACGGUCAUCCUUCGACGACACAUUCAAUCAGGUACAAAAAUGGAUCGGCGAUAAGGAAAAGGAACUUGGUGAAUUCAAACUUUGCCCUACGUUACCUGAAAAGAAGGCACAGCUUCACGCUAACAAAAUCUUGCACCAAGAGGUUGAAUUACAUCAAUCAAUGCUCACACAAUUGACUGAGAAGAUCAAGCUAAUGCCUGAUGAGGAAGCUGAAAAGAGCUUGUCUAAAACUAUUGACAGGUACAGAGAUAUGUCUAAAGAGCUUGAAAAGAGAAUCUCGACCUGUGAAGCUCACGUUGCUGACCAUGAAAAAUACGUUAACAUGUUCGAAGAUGUCCGUGACAGACUUAACCACAUUGUUGCUGAAAACAGCAUGUUGAACUACGGUUCUGUUACUCAGAAAGAUGAUGUAGAUGCUAAGAUUGCCGCUAUCGAGAAAGUAACGAUAAAGGCUAAAGACAUUCAGAAUAACUUGGCUGGCCUUAAGUCACAACUUGAAACGGUCAUUGAGACAACCAGUCCUAAUGGACACCCGGUACUCAUCAGCGAGUAUGAACAGCUCAAAGCAAUAUGGGACCAAUUAUCUACACAAUGUAAGGAACAGGACAAGAAACUCAAGGAUACUCUUAAGCAAUGGACCGAAAGUCAGAAGACGUUGGAUGAACUCGAAGAAUGGCUAAAGGUCAAAGAAAACCAAGUCAGGGACCAAAGCCUUAAGAGUAAUCUGGAAGCUAAGAUUGCUCAUCUACAAAAAGUGAAGGAGAUUCAGAAUGAGCUUGCUGCAAGAAGCGCUGAUUUUGCUGCACUCACUGACACCAAACAGAAUGUAGCUACUGAAUCUGAACUGACCAAUAAGACAUCUAAAUUGGCAACAAGAUACCACACGCUCAAUAAUCUUGUUAACGAAAUCAUUUCCAAGUACGAAGUAUUCGUAUCCGAGCACCAGACAUUCGAAAACGAGUACAGCAAUAUGGAGAACUGGCUCAUGGGAAUGCUCGGUGAGCUUCAAGAUCUCAACGAAAUCGUUGGAGACUAUGCAGUCUUACAAGAGAAACAAAACAAAGCCAAGGAACUGUAUGAGACCAGAAACAAAAAGACUCCCGCUUUUGAAGAAUUCUUGAGCCUCGGUGAAAAGCUGUAUACACACACCAGCCCUGACGGCAGAGAAGUUAUUCGUCAAAAGAUCCGCAAAAUAAGAACACUGUGGGACAGCUUUGGCGACAGCUUCCAGGAAACUGUGAACAAAUUAGACCAAUGUCUACUACAGUUCUCAGACUUCAGUCUUGCUCAAGAGCAGCUGACAAAGUGGCUUAAGGACGUUGAAAGAGCCAUGCAACGACACACCGAGCUUAAAGCCUCUCUUGAAGAGAAGAAGGCGCAGUUGCAGAACCACAAGAUUAUGCAUCAAGAGAUUAUGACUCACCAACAACUGGUAGAAUCUGUCUGUGACAAAGCCCAGCAAUUAGUUGACCAGACCCAUGACGCUUCUCUCAAUGUUUACCUGCAAUCGAUCAAACAACUGUUCCAAAACAUAGUUACUAAGUCUCAAAACCUUCAAGACAAUUUGGAGGACUGUGUGAAGAGACACGAAGAUCUUGUUCGUCUUAUUCAACAGUACAAAGAAUGGCUUGGUUCACAGUCUGAGAAGCUCCUAGACAUUGAAAAUGCAACUGGUGAGAAACCUGAGAUCAUCAGGAAACUGCAAUCAGCCAUCGCUCUGAAAGACAUUGAAAAAGUAGGCUCCGCGAAACUGGACGAAAUUAGAGCAGUGUUCGCAAAUGUUAGCAAGAGCACGUCUGAAGCCGGUAACACCGCUAUCAAGGCUGAGAUUGAUAACCUGCACGAUCAGCUGCGUAAUGCUGUAGAAAAUAUUUCCAGCUCAGAACAGAAACUCAAGCAUACUCUGGAGAUUUGGAACAAGUUCGAUUCAUCAAUAGAAUCUAUUACAGAAUGGCUAAAAGAUAUGGAAUCAAAAUGCCGCGACCAGAGCCUUUGCUCCACUCUUCAAGACAAAGAAGCACAGUUACAAAGAUAUGUUGACUUGCGCAAUAACAUCAACGCUAAGGAAAAGGAAAUCGAUGCCUUCGUCGAUGAAUCUCACAGUCUUAUCCAACUGAGUGGUACUGAACGACUCAAGCCUCUUGUAACUCAAGUGAGCAGUCGUUAUCAACAGCUACACCUUAUCUCCAAGGAAAUUGUUAACCACUGGUCUGAAUUAGUCGCUGACCACAGGAAGUACGCUCAGCUCCGUAGUGAAUUCGAUGCUUGGCUGAAACCAUUAGAAGAACAGCUAUUACAAAUGGUUACUAAAGAAGACAAGCUAAGCAUUGAAAGCAAGGGCAACAAACUACAAGUGUUCUUGAUGGAGAGGGAAAAUGGUGAACAUAAGAUCAGCAUACUUACAACUGCCGGCGACAAAGUUCUACCCGAGACUGCUGCUAACGGCAGAGAGAACAUUCGUGCGGAAAUAAGAGCUCUCAGAGAAAGGUGGGACAAGCUCAACGACACAAUCCUUCAACAACAAAAAGAAUUCGAAUCUCAAACACUGCAGUGGUCAAGUUACCAAGAUGUACUGCAGCAGACUUUGGCUUGGUUAGAUGAGAAAGAGAAGAUUGUCGAUGCGGAAGAAAAGGCCGUACUCAACUCUGCUCAAGAAAUCAAGUCUAAACUGUUGAAGAACAAGACUUUACUUCAAGAAAUCUAUUCACACAAGCGAGUAAUAGAGACAGUCACUGAAAAAGCAAAGAGUGUAUCUGCUACUCUUCACUCAGGAAAGGGAGAGAGCGAUGAAAUGACUGCUAUCAUCAAAUCAGUGUGGGAUCGAUACAACGCUCUUACAAACAGGUUGACUGGUAUCAUUGACAAACAUGAGAGCACGUUUGACAUUUAUCAACAGUUUGCUGAUCAACAGAAAUCACUGCAGGAUUACCAAAAGCACCUUUGGGAUCGUCUUCAUUUGUUAUCCGACUUCAGCGGCAACAAAGCUGCAUUGCAGAGCAAAUUGGCUAAGAUUCAAGAGCUGUUAGAUGCCAUCCCAACUGGAAACAACAAGUUGAAGAUGUUGUCUGACCUUAUCGAGAAGAACAAUGCCAGACUGUCUCCUAGAGGUAAAGAUGGUAUGUCUCGCGAAUUGAGUCUGCUCCGAGCUGAUUUGGAGAAGUUCACCGCAACGGUUCAUGACGUUAAACGUGGCAUUGAAGACAAGAUACAGCAAUGGAUCGAGUUUGACAGUGCCAACGACCGCCUGCAACACUGGCUGAGCGACACCGAGAUGAGCCUCAAGACCUACACUCCUAAGGCAACCCUUGAGGAGAAGGUGGAUCAACUCAACAAAUACCAGGAUUUAUGUAAAGCGAUUGAUUAUCACGAAAAUGAUUUGAGUGCAGUCAUUACUUUGGGCGAGGCCUUGGAUCAAGCUAUCUUGGCUAACCUGAAGAAGACUGAAAAUGACGUCGACAAAUUGACUGACGAGUUCAGUGACCUUAUCGAGAACUGUAACGAUACUAGAAUCACAAUGAACUUGCAACAGAUGACGUCACGAUUCCAAUCGGUACAGUCGACUGCAAAGGAGCUUGUUAAAAAAUGCGAACAAGCCGUGAAUGACCAUAAUGCCUAUCAAGAGAAGUACAACCAGUGCACUGACUGGUUGAAGGCAGCGCAACACAAAUUCGACGAAUGCAAAGAAAACUUGUCGAACACUCCCGAGGGCAUCAGCGCUAAACGAGAGAGCCUUAACGACUUGCUGAGUCAAAGGCGCAACGCUACUCUGCUUGUCAACAACACUUUCGAAUUGGGAGAGAAACUGUAUCCUUCCACAUCACCCGAAGGUAAAGAAAUUGUUGAGCAACAGCUUCACGAAAUCCAACAAGCUAUUGACAACUUGUACGACAACAUCACGAAGGCUGAGAGAGACCUUGACUCAGAACUCAAUAAAUGGUCAUCAUUCGAAGAUAACCUUAAGACCGUACAGCAAUGGCUGACAUCUGCUGAGAAGACUCUGCCUAAAGAGAUUGAACUGAAGGCUACUUUGGAUGAAAAGCGCAAUCAACUCAAUGUCUACAGGACUUUCUUACAAGAUGCCAUCACCCAUCAACAAGAUAUUGCUGAUUUGGAAUCCCGUGCUCAAAGCCUGCCUGAUGUUAGCAAAGAUAUUGCCAAGGAAAUUAACCAACUAAAACAGAGGCAUGAAACUAUUCUUGCUAGAGCUAAAUCCUUUGUGGAGCAAUAUGAAGCGAUUGUUAACAACCACCAACAGUACACCAAGGCUGUCAAGGACUUGGAAGAAUGGGUUGAGGCCACACAUAACACGGCUCAACUGUGGGGUGAUGUCAACCUUGAACGCGUCGCGCUCAGCAGCAACUGUGAAAAACUCAAGUCUCUUCAACUUAACCUGCCUGAAGAAAAGUACCGUAUUGACAAGAUUCGUUCUCUUGGUGAAAAGGUACUGCCAGGAACUAUUAGCACUGGACAAGCAAAUAUCAGAAACCAGAUCGAUGCAUCCCACCAAGAAUGGGAAGGCCUCGUGUCGUUUAUUAACAAGACCAUCGAAGCUAUGGAGAAUAAGAUCCAACAAUGGAACGAAUACGAGAACAUGAAGGACCAGUGCUUGGCCUGGAUCAGGAAUACAGACAACCAGAUCCAUGCCGUUGACUUGAAGGCUACUUUGCCAGAAAAACAAGAACAAUUCAAGAAGUUCCAGGAAUUACAAGGUGAAGUUCGUGCUAAGGAGCUUGAGAUUGACAACAUUACCGAGAAAGCUCAACACCUACACACUGGCGUUUUCGGACCACGUGCUUCACAGAUAUCAGAUCUGUCUGUUAAAUACCAAACUCUUUCACAAAAGGUUAAAGAUUUGACGAACAGAUGGCAACAGUACGUCAAGACCCACCAAGAGUUUGCCAGCAACGUCACUGAAUGCUCACAAUGGAUCGAAGAGCUCAGAGACAAACUGGACUUCUGUGCAGAUUUGAGCUCUUGCUCUCAAGAUGACCUGGAAACCAAAUUGGUAUUGAUUCAAAACUUGUUGCUAACAAAGGAUGAAGGUUUUACCAAAGUCCAGUCGCUUGUUGAAUUGGCCCAAAACGUUAUGGCCAAUACUGCUCCAGCUGGUCACGAAGCAAUCAACAACUCAUUGGUUGCUCUACAAGAACAAUGGUCGGCAUUGUUGUCCAGAAUGAUCGAAACCAAGAAUAUGCUGGAUGACUCAGUCACCAAGUGGGCUGGAUUCCUUGAACAGAUACAGCUCAUUGAGAAGAGCAACACAUACCUUGAGAACAUGUUAGUUGAACUUACUCCUUAUGAGGCAUCCAUGACCGACAAGAGGGCUCAGCUUGAAAAGCUCAAGGAAGUUGAGGAGAAGGCUCGUUGCGAUCGUCUUGAAGUAGACACGCUAAAGGCUAAAGCAGCUGAAAUGAUUGCUAGUGGCCAACAAAAUCAGGCCGCAUCGAAAGCCCAAGAAACAUUAAGCAAAUUCGAUAACCUGUAUGACAAGAUUAAGAAACUUCUUGCCGACCGCGAAGAGCAAUACAAAGAUCACAGACUGUACAAAGAAGCUCAUGAUGAGCUUAUACAGUGGUUAAGCAGAGCAAGAGAAAAGGUACCUUCUCUUAAAUCUAAACCAUUGAGUGACAAAUUGGCAAUUGAAAAUUCUGUAGCACCUCUGGACGCCUUGAUCAACAAACAGGCUCAAGGAGAGCUAUUGUUAGAACAUCUGCAACACACUGGUGAAGUUGUCCUAGCUAGCACAUCGCCUGAAGGCCAGACAGUCAUCAAGAACGAAAUGAAGGCUUUGAAGGAAAGCUUUGACGAUCUGUUCAACGAGAUCAAACAACAGAAGAGCCAACUGGAGGAUACAGUUAACCAGUGGCGAGAAUACAAAGACGAGUACGAGAGAUUGUCUGAUUGGUUACAGCAAAAGGAAAUUCUUAUCAAGAAUCAGAAAUUGGCACUGCUUGGAACAGCUAAGGAAAAGGGUGCUCAAGUCAACGAAGUUAAGGAAAUAGUUGACCAGCUGAACAAAGGCAAAGCUGACAUCGAUAAGUUCAAUGCCUCAGCUUCUGGUCUUCUGGCUUCACACUUAGACACGUAUGUCAACAACCAGUUGCGUCAUCUCAACUCUAGGUACCAGGUUCUUGUGAACAUGGCCAAUGAUGUACUCAAGAAGGUUGAAACCAAUUACGAACAGCAUCAGACCUACGAUGAUAAUUACGCAAAGACCAAGAAAUGGAUCGAUGACGCUUGGGAGAUCACUCGCAGUGGCAGUGACGCUGGUAGUAACAGCAGCAAGGAAGCCCUGCAGAAGCGUCUAGAACAAAUCGAGGACUUGCUUAAACGUCGUGAGGAAGGCCAAAACCUUGUUCACGCAACGGUUAACAGCGGAGAAAAGGUCCUCAGAAACACGAGGUCUGAUGGCAAGGACAAGAUUAACACCGAACUUAAGGAACUACAAAAUGAGUGGGACCGCUUGGUCAAGAAGAUGAGCACGGCCAAGGUUCAUCUCGAAACAGCCUUACUCCAAUGGGCUGACUACAGCUCAAGUUAUUCACAGCUCCAGCAAUGGAUAUCCGACAGAGAAGCAAAACUCCAAGAAGUGUGUGAACAAAAAGUUGCCAAAUCCAAGAAGGGGCAAGACCGCCUCGCCGGACUCACGGCCGGUCUUAGCCUGCCUGAGAGGAAGGCCACACUCCGUCAAACAAACAAUAUUGUGCAAGAUAUCGUUUCGUUUGAACCCAUGAUUCAGUCUGUAACUUCUAAGGCUUCAGAACUUAUGCAACAAGCUCCGGCGUCUGAGAUCACCAGCAAAUACGAGACUCUGUCUAAACAGGCCAAAGACUUGUAUGAGAGACAGAGAGAGACUGUGGAACAACAUCAAGCGUUUAUCGAUGCUGGCUCAGACUUCGUCCAAUGGAUUAGAGCUGCUAAAGAGAGAUUAGGAAAGUGCUCUGAUGCAACCGGAGAUAAGGAAUCGUUGAGUAGUAAGAUUUCUCAACUUAAAGUAUUGGAAAGCGAGCUGCCCGAAGGUCAAGCGAAGCUGCAGAAGGCUCUGGAACAGGGUGAGAUAUCUUGCGGCUUGGCUGAUCAUGAAGACAGAGAAGAAAUUGAAGAAGAAGUAGCUCUUAUGCAGGAAGAGUACGAUACCUAUGUUGAACAGCUAAACAACACCAAAGCUCUGAUCGAAGGCGGUAUCGUCAAGUGGACAGAAUACGAAGAGCAGUACAAGGAAGCCUUAGAUUGGUUGUCAAAGACUGAGAAAUUAGUGCAAUCCUUUAACAAGCUGCAGAAUAACUUGGAACAGAAAAAGGUUGUUCUGGAAGAGUUCCAGGGUCACCUCCAAAUGCUAUUCGACUGGCAAGCAGAGCUGGACAAGCUGAAUGUGCGAGCACAAACACUGCUGGAGACCUGCGCCGACACCAGGAUCUCUAACGGCAUCACACAGCUGACCACUAAGUACAACGCUCUGCUGUCGCUGGCUAAGGAGGUCAUGAAGAGGCUGGAACUACAUUACCAGGAACACCAACAACACAAUGCGCUGUACGGCGAAUGCCAAGACUGGCUCGACAGAACAAGAGAGAAACUCAACCAAUGUGCUGAAAUACCGAACAACUUACCCGAAGUUAACAGCAAACUUAACACUGUGAAAUUGCUACGUCAAUCCUUGGAGCAAGGUCAGAACAAACUGAGGUACCUUCUAGAACUUAAAGAGAAGGUGAUUAUGAACACAGAACAGGCUGGAGCCGCGAAGAUUCAGGAGGACACUGAUAAUCUGAAGCAAGAGUUUGAUAAGCUGAUCGCGGACUUGCAAGAUGUCAGGAAUAAGCUGACCAAUAGAGCGGCGCAGUUCGAUGAUAUUUCUAAGAUCCACAAGCUCCUAGUAGAAUGGUUAGACGACAUCGACCAGAAGAUCCAGUCAGACGACUCUCUUCUCCAAGAUCUAUCAGAGAAGAAGGCUAAGCUAGAGAAGUUCAAGACCUUCAACAGGGAUAUUGACUCCCACAACGAUUUGGUCAAGCGAUUAAAUGAGAAGCUGAAAGAAGAUGCGUCUCUCAAAUCUAAAGGUAUUGAGGAUACGCUGAAGAGGUACGAUGAUAUCAGGAAGACGGUCAAUGAGAUGAUUGCGAAACUGGAAGAAUACGUAAACUCGCACAUCCAAUACAAAGAAUCGUACGACAACUUCUACGACUGGAUUAGAAACUGCAAGAUCGAGAUCCAACAGUGUUCCGACUCCCAUGGCGAGAAGGACUCUGUGCAAAAGAAACUUCAGAAGGUCAAUAAGAUCAUCGAAUCUUUACCUAAAGGUGAAGCCUUACUUAAGAAAGCUAUUAGCCUCAGCAAUGCUGUCCUAGAAACUACAGGAAACGAAGGCAAAGAUAACAUCAAUCAAGAAAUUAAACAGCUGAAGAUCGAAUGGGAGAACCUUCAACAGAUAUGCAAGGAUACCAAGAAGUUACUUGAGAAAUGUCUGUCGGCCUGGUCUGAUUACUUGGAGACAUCGGAGAAGAUGAGCAAGUGGGUGAAGGAGUUUGAUAACAAGUUGAAGACUGUGCAAAAGGUGGACAAGAUCACACCUGAACAUCUUGAUAAGUGUCGCGAACUUCUAUCUGAGGCAUUAGGACACAAACAUGUCUUAGAAGAACUGAACGACAGGUGUGAAAACCUCAUGGAACAGAGCGCAUGCGCCUGGGUCCGCGACAAGACAGUCAAUUUGCAAACCGAAUACACAACCUUACUAACUAAGAUCCAAGGUCUAGUUUCCAAUGGCGAGAAAAACUUGUCAGACCACACUGAGUUCAUCAAGGCUAAAGAAGACCUACAGCAAUGGUUAGAGACUGCUCAUGGCACUGUCCAAGAUUCCAUUGGAGUUGGUGAUAUUGAAACCACUAAAGAUAAACUAGAGACAGUUAAACUGGUUAACAACAGAAUGACUGAAGGUCAUCACUUACUAGUUGUCUUACAAGAAGCAUUCAAGAAAGCUCUUAACAACACUCCUCCUGAAGAACAAGAUGGUCUCCGCAAUGACGUCAAAGUAUUGCAGGAGAGCUGGGACCAACUGAAGAUAGACCUCAACUCUAUCACAGCUCAGCUCAAGGCCGCUAUCGGCAAAUGGGAGGACUUCGAAGAGUCCAAGAAGAAGAUGGACCAAUGGAUCAAGGAGACAGAACAGAACUUAGACAAGGUCCCACCAACAGGCGGAGAAUUGGGAGAGAUGAAGACUCUUCUCGAAAAAUACAAGCAUAUUGAAGAUGAAAUUGACAACAAGAAGCCUGAAUUAGACAGAUUAAAGAGCGAAGCCGCUGAACUCAGCUCUUGGGCUAAGAAGCCUGCUAUCAAAGAAUCAGUCACAGAGAUCGAGAAGAAAUGCAAGGCUCUCCGCGCUAAAUGCGCAGCCAAGAGAGCUGAACUCGAAUCUGAGAUCAAGGAUUAUAACAACUACCAUCAAUCGUUACAAGAUACCGAGAAAUGGCUGUUACAGAUCUCCUUCCAGCUCAUGGCCCACAAUUCCUUGUACAUUGCUAACAGGGAACAGACUGAGGAGCAACUAGCCCAACAUGCAGUACUUCUCGACGACAUACAGAAGUACAGGUCUACAUUAGACGAGCUUGAAGGGAAAGGACAAGCUCAGAUUGAACGUUACGAAGCCACAACUCCAUCUAUUCGUGAGACUGUUGGAAAACAACUGAAGAAUGUGAACGACAGUCAUAAAUCUUUGCUAGCAACUGCCCUACAGAUUGAGCGUCGUUUGAGGGAAGGACUCGCGAAGUUCAAGGAGUAUGAAGACACGCUGGAGAGCAUCCUGAACAACUUGGAUGAAAUGGAGCCGGCGAUCACGGAACUCGAUGUGCCGGUUGAUGGACUGUCUCAUGGACGCGAACUCCUGGAUAAAGCUAGGGGUCUCCACAACCGCCUACAAACCGAAAAGAGCCGUUUAUCAGCCGCCGUGGCAGCCUGCUCAGCCGCCGCCGCGUCCGUCUCCCGGCCUUCAUCUCCUGCCGACACGGCGCCGCUGCCCAUCCCACCGCGGGAGCUGCACGUCAGGGCCCGGCUCGAGGACCUCAUAGACCAGAAACAUGUGAGCGAAGUAGGAAGCGCGCCACGCAUUGAACUCAUACUUAAGUCCCUUGAGGCACCCGAGUUUGGGCAAAAGCUUUCGACUUUCGAAACUAAGGUACAAAGUCACUUGGAGGAAUUAGGAGACGCCGUCCAUGGCAUGGAAGAAGCUAUGAAGCAAGUUCUAGAGAUCCAAGAAUGGAUAGCGGUCCACACUGCAUUAGCCCGUGACUGGCUCGCCAACCCAUCCAAGUUGAGGCCGGAGGCUGCUAAGCAGGAUAUGGCAGCGAUGAACGAUGCCCUCGCUUCGCUUAGUGAGAAGAGGAACAGGCUGCUUACUGAGAUUCCUACUGAAGGACUUGAAGACGAAAUUAAUCUAGAAGAAGAACUAGACAACUUAGAACAAGCAAUCCUCAAGGCGAUUGAGAGAGAAAAGGGCAACCAAGCCAUCAUCGACGCCUUCCGUAACAAAUGCCAAGAGAUUCACGACUGGUUCGACUCCACACUCAAGAAGAUGUGCUUAGCUGACAAGGGCUCUGGUCUCCCAUGUCCUCAGAAGCUCAGCGCACUCAAGGAACUGUCUUCUGAAUUUGGACAGGCUGGCAAAGACAAGGUUGAUAGCAUCAAGUCUGUUGGAUCCCAAGUUAUCAACAUCGUCAGCAAUUUGGAGUCUCAACAAGUGGAGGAACAAAUGAAAUCAGUCGAGCGAAGAUACAAUGACAUUGCUAAACGCAUUCAACGCAAACUUCAAAUGCUUGAAAUUACCUACAAGGCGAUCGAUGGUACCAAGAGUGAGGUCAACGCCCAGAACGAAUGGAUGCAAAAGGAAAUUGACAACAUCCUUCACCCCGAACCUCUUGGUUAUGAGAGCAAAUCCGUCAAGGAACGCCAGAAGAAGGUAGCCAAUCUUCUCAAAGAAACUGACGGUAAGAAGACAGUCAUUGAUUCCUUGGAGAAGAAGGUAAGCAACAUCCAGGCUGAAUUAGAACCUUCUGAACAGAUGCAAUUAGAAUCAGAAUUGUCUGAACUUUCCUCGAAACAAAAGCAAUUGGCCUCCCUUAUCAAACAAGAGAUUGAAAGGUUAGGCACUUGCGCUGAAGACAGAAAGAAACUCGAGAAUGAUAUCGAAAAAGCCAAGAACUGGCUCAAAGCUAAACUUGCUGAGAUUAAGAAACUUGGCGGCCCAGUGCCUCUGGAAGCUGCUAAGGUUGAAAAAGAGAUUGCAAUCCAUAAGAAACACCAGAGCGAGUUAUCUGAAUUCCACAAUGAUACUUUGACUGAAGUGAUGCGCCAAGGCAAUGCCGUAUCUAAGGACUGCUCUCCCGAAGACAGGGCUAAGUUACAGGCUAUGCUUGAAGAACUUAACAAAACAUACACUUCUGCUAAGGUUGAUAUUGAUGAUAAACUGGCGGCACUCAACAAACGCUUACAAGGCAGGAAUGAAUUUGAAGCUGAAGUUGCCAAGUGCCAGAGCUGGUUGAAUGAGGCUGAGGUAGCUGCCACUCCUGAACUGCGCACUACUAGCCUUCAGCUUUUGGAAGAACAACUGGCCAAGUUUGAAAAACUCAGCAAAGAAGCUGAUGAUGUUGAGAAGAAUAUUGGCAAGAUUAAGGACAAGUCCAAGGACAUCAUGGACUCGUUGUCAGACUCUAACAAACUACAGCUGAAGGAACAAGUUAAUGUCUUAUCAGAUAGAUUCGCUAGGAUUAAAGCUAUCAUCAACGACAAAAAGGGCAUCCUGCUCAAACACAUCAAGGAAUAUAAGGAUGCUGCAGCUAAGAUCGCUGCUGCUCUGGAAUUCUUGAAUGAAAUCCAGAACAAAUUGAAGGCUUUGAACAAACCUAUUGGCAGCAAGGUCGAAGAUGUCCAACCUAUCAUUCAAGCAUACGAAUCUAUCUUAGCUGACCUGAAGAAGAACAAGGCAAUGUUGAAUGAACUCCAAGGUGGAAACCUACACGACCUUCAAGAUAUCCUCACUCAACAGGAUGACUUGAUGAGCACCAUUGAAGACCAAAUAUCGAAGUUGAAACAGCUACUGCUUUUGCGUGAACAAUUCUUCGCAUUAGUGAAAGAAAUUGAGGAGUUCAUCUCUAAAUACACUGACCUCACAUCCGAAAUUGAGAAAUCCAAUGACUCUUUGGAAGACAAGAUUAAGCGUUAUGACGACAUCAUUGUUAAGAUUCAAGGCUGCGAAGCUUUGCUUGCUACUGCAACAGACAAGGGUCAACAGAUCGCUGCUGAAGGGACUGUGAUCGACAGAAACAACAUCACCGAACUUUUACAAUCUCUGAAACAACAGCUUCUGACGCUGAGAAGAACCGUAGAAGCCAAGCGUCAAGAACAUGAGAGAGCCGCUGCAGAACAUAAGAAACUUGGCUCAGAUCUAUCUGAGAUCCUUCAAUGGCUGCAUGAUAACGAAGCUGCUGUACAUUCACGACCACUACUUAACAGAGAUGUCGCUAGUGUCGACAAGAAACUUACCGAACAUGCAACACUUGUCAAGAACAUUCAGUCAUACCUUGACAAGCUAACUAAGAUCACUGACGUCAUCAAGAACGACGAUGGCGUCCCAAGCACACUCCUGGAAAUGAUGUCUGAAGGCAACUCUCUCAAGACAUCACUCCCAGCAGAAUUAGCCAACAGAGAGAAAUACUUGCAAGACAACAAGAAAUACAGGCAGCAAUACCUGCAACUCGUCGAGAAACUGAACAUUUGGGUAAACGAAGCGACCAUACGCCUCGACAUGGGCAAGAACGGCACCGACUUCGAAAACAUCGAAUCUGAUUUGGAAGAACACAAAUCAUUCUUUAAUACAUCCGAACCAUCGAUGAAGGAUCUUGUUGGCAAGCGUAUGCAAGACAUUGUCGACAAGAUCUGGCCUUCUCUGGCUGCUUCUGAGCAAGAAGAAUUAUCGAAAGACCAUCAAAAGCACAACCAACUUCUUAAGAACACGUUGAACUCUGCGAAAUCUCGUCAAGCUCAGUUAGAACAAGACUUGGAGAUCUGGAAGGACUUCUGCCAGCUGGUUGACAAGAUAAAGGCGAUCCUAGACAAGAAUGACAUCCAAGAUGAACCGGUGACGUCCGUGGACGCGCUCAGACUGCAUCUCGAGAAGCUGAAUCAUGCCAAGAAUGACCUUGAGAACCAGCAGCCGCUCUUGGACGUGGUCCGGGAGCGGGCGCGCGAGCUCUGCUCCGGCGCUGAUGCUGCUAGUGGGGAGAGGGUCGAGCAGAGGACCAGGGAGCUCGCUGACCGAUGGAAUGUAGCCUGUGAAGGCCUAGCCAAGCGCGCAGCGACAGCCGACCAGCAACUCCACCGCUGGAAUCAGCUGCUCGACGUACAACGUACCUUGGGAGCUGCCAUCACGGCUGCCUCUGACCGGCUGCGACAGUUGGACGCCAACCCCAGCACUAGAAGGCGUGCGGUUGAUACUAGGCAUGCUCUACAGGAACUCCAAAGCGAAGUAUCAAGCUUGGAAGACAGUCGUGACGAGCUGCUAGAACACGCAGACUUUGUUGUCAACAUCUUGAAGCCGCACUCUAAGGACGCCGCCAAUGACACCGAGAAGAAUGUCAAGGAACUCGUUGAAGCUUACGAGAAAUUGCGACAGACUCUUGCGGCGCGGCUCGCGGAGAUCGACGACAUUGUGUCCGAAUUCGAUCGCGUGUCGGAGAAAAUCGACGAGCUCCGACAGCAGAUAGAAGUGUUGACAGCGAAAGUAAGGACUUUCUACGUGUUCGGCGAGGACGAAGCGGAUAGCGUGCGCGCAUUGACAAACGAAGUGUCGGACUUGGUGCAGCGCACGAAGAACUUCACGGAGGAGAGCAGGAAGCGAUACGGAGGAUCAGCGCCGGCGGACGUCGCGCAGGAGCUGUCCUCCUUAGAACUAUCAUCUGAGGCACUAGCAGCAGCAAUGGAAGAGAAGGAGAGGGAAUGGAAGCGCGCCCGCACGGCUCGCUCGGAGUACGCGACGGACGUGGAGGACGUGCAGGCGUGGCUGCGCGCGGCCGAGCUCACGGCCCGCGACCGCACGCUGGCGCCCGAGCCCUACCGCGAGCGCCUCGUGGCCACGCGCGCCGAGGUGCCCGGCGUGGCCGACCGCGUCGAGCGCCUCACGCGCAACGCCCGCGCCAUCGUGGAGGGCAGCCGCGACGCCGCCGAGCGCCAGCUGGUGCAGUCCACGGUGUCGGCGCUGUCGGAGCAGUUCGCGGCCGUGUGCAGCGAGCUGGAGGCGCGACAGGCCGCGGUGGAGGACGCCUGCGACGCCGUCGCGCGCUUCCUCACACUGCUCGAGAAAGUCCUACUUUGGGUUGAAACGCAACGUGCAUUCCUAGCGCGGCCACUCCCAUUGGCCGACUUGCAGGAGGCGCAACAGAAACAGACUGAAUAUGGGAACGCGCUCAAGAGCUGUAAGCAGCAAGCCAAGAAUUUAGCAGAUAUGGCAAAGGAGAUAGAGGCAAUCGAACGGGUCACAAGUCCGGGUGACUUGCCUUCUAGGCUAGAAGCAGCAGAGAACGCGACCGUUGACGUCGAAAAGAAAUUAGCGAAGACAAACGGUCUAUUACAAGAACUAGCGGAAGAAUGGGAGCGAUGCGAAAGAAAAUUAAAGGACGCCGGGCAUUGGCUCGAAGCGACGUCUAGGACUCUAGAGACACCCCAGAAUGCAAAGAAACCUCUCAGGGAUCGUCUCGCCCUGAGGGAGAAAUUGAUAAAUGACAUCUCCACGCAAAAGACGAAGAUCUCAUAUGCAGUGGAAAAACUCAACGUACACUUCGGGCCGGACGGCGUGGCGGCGCAGUCCCGCGGGCCUGCGGGCGUGGAGGCGGCGGCGCGGGCGCUGGGCGCGGCGCUGGACGCGCUGGCGGCGCAGACGGGCGCGCAGGCGGCGGCGCUGGGCGCGGCGCUGGCGCAGGUGGACGCGUACUGCGCCGACGUGGCGCGGCUGCGCGCGCAGCUGCUGCAGGCGGAGCAGCAGCUGCGGCAGGCGGCGCAGCCCAACUACAGCCCGCGCGAGCCCGAGCGCGCGCACCACACGCAGCAGGAAAUCGGCCGGCGAAUCGAAGAGCUGACCGGAGCAAUCUACGCGCUGGACCCGUACUUCGUGAUGCCGGCGGCAGACGAGCCGGCCGCCACUCUGUCCAUGCUCGCGUCGAGCGCGGCGCAUGCACGCAGCGCGCGGCGCCCGCGCUCGCCGGAGCGGCGCCAGCGCCUGGCCGUCGCCGCGCCCGCCGCCCGGCCGCGCUCGCCCUGCUGGGCGCCGGGCGGCGUCACCUACGCCGAGAUAGUCAAGGGCUCCGGCUCGCGCUCUAGCUCCCCGCCCCUUCACCGCGAUGUGCCAGUGGAAGUGGACCCGUGUGUGCCCAGUGACGCCCCUGUGACCGAGUCUAUCAGUGUCAGUGAGCCUUAUGGCGGUGACGUGAUCGUUUACUAUGAUGAAUAUAUCUCUCGUCCGGAACCGGAACCGGUUCCCGAAUACUAUGCGGAACCCCCAGUAGAGUACCGGGAGAUGCCAAUCGAUGUGCCGGCACCCGUGUAUCGGGAAUCACCCGAACCUCUUGGGACGUCGCCGGAUCAACCGUUAGGGGAGCAACCUGUACAAUUAGUAGAAUCGGAAAGGGCUAUGAGCCCCAUACAGAAACAAAAAUCGCACGAGUUGUCUUAUGCGGAAAUAUUAGCGCUAGGGCUACGCAAACAAGCGCGUACACAAAACGUUACGUCCUUACCGAAACCACAAGUUGCACAUGUUGAGCUGGUUAAGGAGAUCGUAGUAGAAUGCGUUGAAAGAUCUCCACCGAUUCAGCAAUAUGAAUCGAAAGUUGAGAAGAUUGAACCGCCUAGGUUCAAACCCGAUAGACCAGAUAAGCCUGGUAGGAUUGAAAGACUUGAAAAACCUGACCGUCCACCUCCUAGAAGUAGGUCUAGAGAAAUGCCAAGACAGAGGCGUGCACCAGAAAAAAGACCAACAAAGGCGCAUGACGUUCAGGCUAUGAAAAAGAAGAAGACCAUGAAAAAGGUCAUUGAAGUUCAAGACUUUGAUGAACCUGAGCAACCAGUAGAGGUUGAAUUGGAACCCAUUAGGGAUACACCUAUUGUGCGUGCGCUGGUAGAACCGACCAUAGAGACUGGCUUCAAGGAAGUCACAAAAAAAUUACAGCAUAGUGCCACAGUUGUAGAGACUGUGACUGAGAUAGUUGCAGAAGAUUCUCAGCCCGAAAACACCGUCGAAGAGGUUGAACCGAAAAAACCCAAGAAAAAGCAAAAGCCUAAAAAACCUAGGUCUCCUGAAGAUGAAAUACAAAAAGCUCUGAAAGAGAUAGAAGAGUUAGAAAGAAACAAAAAGAAAAAAACAAGAGAUGCUCGUGAUAAGAGUAAAGAAAGCAUUGCUGAGGUAAUUACAAUCGAAACUCCGAAAGAACCAGAAGUGAUUGAAUUGAAAAAACAACCAGUCAAGGAAUCAGAUGUCCAGAAUAAGUCUAAGAAAAAGAAAAACCACAAAGAAUUACCGGUUCCGCCUAGUGAUAUUAGUACUGAGUUCAUAACUGUUGAGUCUACCGCGCCAAUUGAGGUUGUGACUAAGGAAACCAAGUCGAAAAAGAAAAAGGGUCCUAAACAACCUUCUUUGGAUAAGUCGGAGCAUUCGGAGCGCAGUUCUGCUGGUAGCAUAACUGACGUUUUUUCUGUUGCUGACUCUAGUUCGACAGUGCAAACACUUGUUGAUACCACAUCUGAACUUACCUCCGAACGCGAAGUCCUAGAACUUCUUACGCAGUCAGAUAUCAUAGAGGAACCAGUUGUUUCAUCAGUCGAUGAACGUGCUGAAGAAACCGUACCCGAAACUUCACUUGAAGUUUUUCCUAAAAUUUCCUCUUCUGUAGCUGAUAAUAUUGAAUCUAAGGAAGGGUUUGAAAAUAUUCUAAUAGCUUCUCAGAAAGAAGUUGUUGGAAAUAGUCAAACUUUACAGGAGCACACUCCUGCAAACGUAGAGAGAGAAGUCUCCAGUACGAUUUCUAUAACUGAGACAAUUGUUACACAGCAAACACAAGAAAUCGUACAAGCUACAGAAACUAAAGAACAUGAACUUUUGUCAGUACAGACAAAGAUUGAUCAAAAUGAAGAGCAAUUAAACACAAAAGCUUCUAAAAAUAAAAAGAAAUCUAAUAAGAAUAAGGGUAAAACUGAAGCAAACAUCGCAGAGUUUAUAGUUAAAGAAUCUGAACAGAUUCAACCAGAACAAAAAGUGCAUGAAAAUGUACAAGUGGAACAGGAAAAACCGGUUCUAGAACAACUGGAUGUAAAAUUCCAACAAUUUGACACUGAAAUCGAACAACCAGAACCAACUGAGUUAAAAUCUAAAGAUUCAGAACUGGUGCAAGUAGAGCCGGUGCAGCUUGAGUGGUCACAACUUGAAUCAGAAGAAACGAAAACCACCUUGUUACCUAGUGAACCGCAGCUGGAAUCCUUGCCGAUGUCACAUGAACAACUAGAGUCAAACAAACAGGAUGCUACACAGAUAGAGCAAACAGAGUUUGUGCAGAAAGAGCUGCAACCGAUAGAACAAAUUCCUUUGGAACCAAAACACGACACUGUUAAAUCAGAUGAUAGUUCAUCUAAAAAUAAAAAGAAAAAGAAACCAAAGAAACAUGAAAAGACCCCAGAACCAAUACCCUUGGAAGCUGCUGAAGUAGUUGAAAUUAUUGACGAACAAUUCAAAACAACUGUCAUAGAACCAGUUGUUACCGAAAUACCAAAUCUGGUGGAACAGGUUGAGGAACAGAAACCACAAAAGAAGAAAAAAUCUAAAAAAGGUAAACAUGCUGAAGUAAAAGAAGAUACAAUUGAACCGUCGACGGUUGUGGAAAAUAAAGAAAUUGAGAAGCCCACUGAAGUAGUUGAAAGCACUCUUAAAGUUAUUGCAGAAACAGAAUCUACUUCGGAUGUUAAGCCUUCCAAAAAGAAAUCCAAAAGUAAAACAAAACCAGAGGGAACAAAAGAGCUUCCGGAUCAACCGGAAUUGCCUAUCCAUGAAUCCCCCGUGGAAGAACUUAAAGUUGACGAGCCCGCCUUUGAAGAAGUUAAAUCGCAUAAAAAGAAAAAAUCAAAGAAACAAAAGAUUGACGAUGAUGAUAUCGAGAAGGCUCUUAAGGAAAUUGAACGUUCUGAAGGAUCUAAAAAGAAGCCUAAAGAGAAGACGCCAAAACCUAAAGGCAAACAGGAUCAAGCAAAGGUGGUAGCUACGGAAUCUAAAGAAGAAACUGAAAUUCAACUCGAGUUAACUUCAAAAGCAAGUGACUAUGAUAAGUCACCCGAUGAUGACAUUGAAAAUGUUCAGCCUAUUGAACAUAUUGAUUGGAACGAACUUUUGGAAGAAGAAGAAGGAGCUAUUGAAACAACUUUUGAACCAAUCAGCAAGCCUGAAAUGGACUUAACUUCUACUGAAACUGCAUUUGUAGCUAACCAAGUGACCAUACUGCAAGAAGCCUCGAAUUUGUUAUUGGAGGAAGAGCGUACUAUCAACAAAUUGGAAUCUUCUACAAGUGAGGUUCAUAUAGAAAAGUCAACGGUAGAAAAAUCCGAAAGUGAUAAAGUAGAAAAAACUGUAAUUGAAGAAGAUAAAAAGUUGGUAACACCUAUGACUAGUCCAGCUAACGAGCAGAACAAUAACGAUAAGUUCUUUUCACCUGACGUUCUGAAAGAAGGGUCAUAUAACAUUGUCGAAGAGAUAACACAUUAUGAACCUAUCACUCAAGAUGUUGAAACUCGUACUAUAUACUUAAUCACACAUGAAGAGAAAAAGCUCCCUCCUAUCAGGACAGUGAAAGUAUUUAGGAGUAAGAGUAACUCGUUAGAAGAACCUCAGUCUAUCGAAGAGAAUGUAGUUUUAAGUGAACAAACGAUAGUGACUAACAAAAUCACUGAUGAAAAGUCUUCCAUUAAUGUUAGUGAUAAUCUUUUAGACAGUAAGAUUAUAACGGAGAAGUUGAUCGAUGAAGAAAAAAUACUUAGUUCUGAAACGAAACUUCCAGAAACAGAAGAACUUGAGAUGACACCAAAAGAUAAUGUUAUGAAAACUGUGGAACAAGAGAUUGACGUUGAAGAAGUUAAGACUUCAGUACUUCAACCGGAUGAGGAAUCUAAAACAACAGAUUAUGUUCAAGUCCAUCAAGAGAAACAAAGUACUGGUUCUGAACAGAUUCAACAUGGUCUGAAACUGGACGAAAGUUCGAUCACUAAACCUGAGAAACCGUUAUCUGAGGAAGAUUUCUCCGAUAUUCUUGAAGAAGCCAUUUUCGGUUCAGUUCAAGAUCGCAACAGAAAAUCCACUGAAAAGAGAAUCAAGGAAAAACAUUCGAACAUACCAUAUCAAGAGUUAGUCAACGAAGUCAAGUCAUAUUCAGAAAAUUUAGACACUUAUAACCUGGACUAUGAUUAUUCCCAGUUAAUGAUAAGUCAAAGAGAUUCUCAGAAUACUGAUAUGAAUAUCGAGGUUGAACUUCAGGAAUAUAAAUCUGAUGAUUUCGUGUCUGUGGAACCUGUCAAAGGUUUCGACAUUGAAGAGAAAUCACCAGAAGUUGGUCAGCAAGGGACAAAAGAUUAUGAAAUCGGUUUGGAUUCUUCCGUUACUGAAAACCCAAUUCUUGUUCCGGAAACAUUGGCAGUGACCGAACAGAUCCCAGACAAACUUCAACAUGAAUUACUUAAAACACAUGAAAUUGAGACAUCCACAAGAUACGAUAUCGAACAAACUGCUGAUUUUAUCAAAGUGGAAACACAGAAACUCGUAGAUGAAGUUGAUGCUUCUGUACCAAGUGUAAAAGAAGUAAUAAAAAUUGAUCAACUAAGCUUGGAGGCGCCAACAGAUAUAACUGAGGUUUUAAAUAAACAAACAUCACCUGAAUCAGCAAAUGAUGUUACAGCAGAGCCUACAUUUAUUUCACUAACAAACGAAGAAAAGCCUAGAGUAAAUUACCAAGAUAUUAAAGAUGCUGAAAUAACCUUAGCCUCCAAUAUUUGUACUGAACCGGAAUUGUCUGACAUAUCUCCAGAUGCAAAAACAGAUUCUUCUUUGCGUGUCUCAAGAACUGUUUUAACUGCAGAUGGAAGUCAGGCUUUAGAUUUAUCAGUAGUACAUACUGAACAAGUUUCUAAAGAAGAAGAGGUUAAGAGAGUUUCUCCUGUAAGAGAAGAAGCACCUAGGCUAAGUUAUCAUGAACUCAGAGACGCUGAAUUAAUCUAUGCAUCUCAAGUUAAGCCUCAAACAGAAUUGAUCAUCGGUAAUGUUGAAUCGGACAUUACUGAUUCAAACGUUCAAUGCAUAAAACCAGAUGAAGCGAAACAAACCGAACUUGCUUUAAUUACGCAAGAUACCGUUGUUUCAAACACUUCUGAUAAAACAACUACAAUAAAGACUGUCUCCGAGCAUUCUGUUGAUCUGAUUUCAGCCGAAAGUUUAGUUACAAAGUCAUUAGAGCAUGAGGUUGCUGAUAAUGAAUCCCUUCAAACUAGUGAACAAUAUAAGGAUGGAAAACCGCAAUAUUCAUUUGAGGAGAUUCCGCGCCAGAGUUAUCACGAAAUAUUUGACGCCGAAAGACGUCUUGCUCUUGAAAAUACGCGAUCUAGUUUGGUUGAGCCAACCAGUACAAUAAUUACGGAGGACAAAUUAAAUUCAAUUACAACUGAUGUAAAUAUAGAAAAAGCUCAAACACCAAAGCUCGAGCUUGUAAGCCAAGUCCCUUCUAUAAGCUACCAGGAAAUAACUGAUGCUGAAAAACUCUUAGCUACUACGAUUAAAACAACUGAAGCAAUCGAAGAACAAACGAAAACUGUUGUGAAAGAAAACAUUUUACUUGAAACUUUGUCAGAUGGAAAGGUCAAAGAGCCCAGCCAUUUAAUAGCUGAAACGCCUCGUGUGAGCUAUCAAGAAAUUUCGGAUGCAGAGCAUUUGUUGGCUACUAUAAAAUCUAAAUCAAGGGAAGCUAGCACUGAACCAACCUUGGCAAUCGAAGAGGAAGAAAAAGCUGCAAAUAUUGAAGACGUCGAUAUUAUUUCUGAGCCAAUCACUGACAACGUGCAAAAGAUGGAGAAUCACAUAAGCAACAAUGAAUCCUUUAUUGGUAAUGGUGAUAUAGAAGGUCAAGUUAUUGAGAAUAUUCCAGUUGUGGACCCAGAGCCGGUGCAGGCCAUACAACCUAUUUACGAGGUUCCAAGAUUCAGUUAUCAUGAGUUGAACGAUGCUGAAGUAUUAUUGGCGUCCACACGGACAUCAGUGCAAGAAAUUGAAAUGCCGGAAGCAGCUGAUAUUACUCCAGCUUCAGAAAUAUUAUCUGAAACUGUUGAGACAGUUUCAUCGCAAGAUCAGCAAGUUGCGGAAAAUAUACUCGAGCCAUUACGCCACAGUUACCAUGAAAUCCAAGAUGCUGAACGUGUUCUAGCAUCUACGAAGUUAGAUGAAAAAGAGAAUAAUCUUGUUGAAGAACAAAAGCAACCAGCUAAUGAAAGAACACCUGCCGAAGUAGAAGUGGCCGCUCUUCAAUUUAGAGAUGAACUAAUUACUUCAACUAAAACUGACGUUGAGCAUACUACUGAAUUCAUUUCUCAUGAAAGUGUCGUCACAGAAUCAGUCCAACAAAUACAUGAAGCUGCAGAGGAUCCUACGCAGAGGGCACCUUUGGAAAAAAUAGAACUUUCAUUCGAAGUUGACGACCUUAGCAACACACCGAUUUCGGUAGUUUAUGGUAGUGCGGAGGUUGAGACUCCAACAUUGGAACUUAAGGUGCCAGUGUUUGAAAGUCAAAAUGCAGAGUUAGUCUCCUCCGUAGCUCCAGAGAAUAUUGAAAAUAUACAAAUGAUCGAUGCGACUAAAACCGAUCUACAAAUUAGUCAAGAUGAACCAGUUUCAUUGGAAGAAGAUACUUUUGAAAUCAUUGAUCAUAGUGAAAUUAAAGACAUUAUUAGCACUAUACAAGUUUCUGAAACUGAAGAAAUACAAUCCAACGUGUCUGAAAAUGUACCACAGAAAGUCGAAUUAGCACUUAGUGCUUCAGAAAGUACUACUGAAAUUGGCUCGAGUCAAAGCGACAUUACUACGGAAAAUGUGCGUUCUAUAACUCCAAAAUCUAGCGACGAUCAUACAAUUGUUCAAGGUCUGAUUGAAGAAGCUCUCCAGGAACCUGAAACGAUUACAAGGACUAAACCAGUAUAUGAAACUUUCGUUAUCGACGACCUAAAUGAAACUCUUGUGCCUGUGGUUUUCGGUGAUAUUAAGGACAUCGAAAAUUCAAUCAAGUAUAAAAAACAAGAACUUCUUUUAGAAACUGAACCACUCAAAUCGGUCCAAUCUGCAAGCCCCGAAAAAGAUGUCACUGAGGAACCAGUAAUUGUUGAAACAUCUACUCCCUUAGAAGACGUUGAGAUUGUUGAUACCCACGAUGAUUUUACCAUCCCUCAUCCAAGUGAAUUUGUUGAAGGUCCUACGGUCGAUCUAGGGCUCGAUGCUAAGCCUGAAACUAUCUCGGCGGAAUUCAUACAAUCUGAAGUUUUAGAAUCAGUUAGGAACUUACCGAAAUCCGAAAUAACACAACCUGUUAUGGAUACGCACAAAGUUACGGACGCAAAACCUGAAAGUUUAGAUUCAAGGGAAACUAGGGAAAUACAACUAACACAAACUGAAACUGUUAGCCGUGUAGAGAAAUCUCCUAUACAUAGCUUGCAUGAUCUCCUUCCUGAAAUCGACUCCAUCCCCGAAUUUAAACCCUCUUAUUCGAACACCGUAUUGUAUUCAAAAUUGUCGGCUGAUGCACCUGAGUUCACACCUUCUUACAUGUAUCAGACUGUUACUACUGUGUCUGAGAGUAGAUCUGAUGUAGUCGAAGAUGCACCUGCACCUAUUACUAUGGAGGAAGAUACUAUCAAAGUGGUUACAGAAGAACUUCCGACACAACAGCAACAACAAAUUUCAUAUUCAUCAGUAUUACAAAGUAAAAAAGAGAGUCCAGAAAAGAUACCCCAAGUUACAGAAACUGCUGAAAAACUUACAGAAGUUGAAAUUCCUGCUGCUGAAGUAUCUGAAGAACACGUUGAAAAUAAAACAAAGAAACAUAAAAAGAAAAAGAAGAAGGAAAAAGAAGAUAAAAAGGAUACAAUGUUGAAGUCAGUGGAAGUUAAGACUCCAACGGAGACGGUACCUAGUGAACAACCUAAGCCCAAGCAUGAAUCGCCAUGCCCUGUUAAUGUAUGGGCAAAAGCAGCUGAAGACGGGAAAACUUACGCUGAUGUUCUGUCUGAAGGUCUUCUUCAUGAUCACGCUGAACAUACACAAUUAGUUUCGGAAAGGCCAACAGACGUAGAAAUACCCCAAACUAGGCCAGAAAAUGUACCAGAAGUGGCACAAGUUGUUCCACCAGCUGUACACGCAAUUCAGGAUGUUAUAGAGACCACUCAAUCAACCUCAAGUAGCGAGCAAAAUAUAGGAUCUUGGGCACAUAUAGUUGCCAAGCGAUCAUCACCUGAAAGAACACAUAAAGAAGAAGAAAAACAUGUAGCACCAGUGCCUAUUCCUUCUAAAGCUCCAAUGAUUCUUGUUGACGAAUCUGAUAAUGACCAUCUGAAACCUGAAGUGACAGUCGACGCUGAAGGAUUUAUCACUGUGGAUAGAAGUAGACGUUCUAGAUCAAAAUCCAGAGAUGCACGUUCACAAUCAACUGCCUCACAAAAACGAGAAACACGUGAGAAGUCUGAAAAUAGAUUUGAAGCAUUAACUUCUACCCUUAAACCAGAUGAUGGUGAGUCAACACAGAGUCUGUCAGAGGACGAGAAACCCUCCAAGAAACCAAGCCGUAAGAGCCGUUCUUCAAAGUCAAGGGAGAAGGAUGUUAAACCUAAAAUAAGUGUGGUAGCUACGAGCACAAGCGACGAAGACAAGCAACCACCUAAGAAAGAUAAAAAGAAACGCUCGUCCAAAUCAAAAGAUAAGGAUGUUAAACCUCUAGAAGAAAAGAUAGAUCAACCCAAAGAUGUUGAAGAACUAAAACCAUCGAAAGUUGAGGAGGAGGUUGAAGAAAAAUCGGCUACCUCAGCUGUUCAACCUGAGCCUAAAAAGAAAAGUAAAAAGAAGAAGAAAGACAAAAAGCCUUCAGAAAUAGCAGAUGCCACUGAGCCUUCAUCCCCUGCAGAAAUUACUUCUUCAGAACAAGAAGCAAUACCUAUACCUAAAGUACUGUCCAAAUCCCAGAAAAAGAAGGUGGAUACUCCUGCUUCAACACCUGAGUCUGUUCAGACACCAAUCAAAGACAGAGUUUUCUCUGAAGCUCAGUUCUGGAAGAUGGAUCCUAGUAGCCUGGAUACGUCUGAAAUUAUAUCUGUUGAAAUACAACAAACACCAACGGAAAGUUAUAAGAUAGAAAUUAAAGACACUGAAAAGCUCACAAAUGUACAAUCUGAAAAUAUAGAAACCGUGCAAUCUUCUACACAAUUAGUUCAUGAAGAAAUUCCGUCAGCAGAAACGCAAAUUCAAGAGCUAGAAGAUACGAUUGCUGAGGACCAAUCACUUGAAAGCAAAAUGGCUGACUUGCAGCGUGAAAUAGAGGAAAUGUUAUCACCCGAAAACGAUUCCUCACUCAGUGACGAUUCUCCGAAAGAAUUAACUGAUACUCAAACAUCUAUUGAAUAUCAAUAUGAUGAGCUGCUAGAUAACAUGACCCCUUCUCUUGCUAGCCCAGAUCCUGAAGGUUUGGAAUCUAAACCAAUAGAGGAACAAACACCUGAGGCACUGUUAGAUGAAAAACACACUGAAGAACUUGAUGACAAACACAUAAGUAUGAGCAUGAUAGAUUCGGUGUUGGAUGACACCGAACCACUUUCAAUUACCGAAACUCACUCUUUGGAGCACUCGGAGAAUUUAUUGGUCACGCAAGAAGAAGACAUAACCUCACAAGAUGUUAGUAAACUGGUUCAGCAAGAAGAUGUGUCGGCAUCGACGGAUAAACCUAAAGUUAUAUCAAAAGAAGAAAUGGAAGCAUUAAUAAAGCAAACCAUAGAUAAACAACACCAAAUUACAACUGAGGUCACAAAAAUUACUAGUAUUACCAAAACUGACACUUCAUUGGACAAUCUCACUUCUGUACCCUACUCUGACAAACAAGAGAACGUUAAGCCAUUGGUCGAAAAACCUGAUGUAAAAGAAGAGAAGAAAGAUCAAAUAGCCACAAAACUUACAUCUUUCAUUGAAGCAGAGAAAACUAGUGAAUCACCUGUUUCAAAAUCAGAAGUAACCAAGAAAACGACCCUUGAGUCUGAUGUUUCUCUCAAAAAGUCUGCAGCUUCCUUUAUUCUAACGGAACAACUUCAAGAACUAUCAGUACCUUCGGAAGUGACAAGAGCAGAAGAACCCCAACAAGAUAACAUUAAACCGACAAAACAAAGCAUCUUGGAAAAGGAAACAGCUGAUAUUGUAACCGUUGUCCCACUUUCUAACACUGAAACCAUUACUAACAAUCUCACAAACCUAAAAGCGGAUAACUUUUGGACGGACAAACACAAUGUACAUGAUGCGGAAAAACUAUUAGGAGAACGUAACUCUGUAGAAAGAACAAUAACUCACGUACACAUUGAUGAACCUCAUAUCGAUGAAGGCAUUAGCGUCGAAGAAAAUAUAAUCAAUGAUAAUUCAUUUUGGCCUGAAAAGCAUUUAUAUCACGACGCUGAAUGCCAAUACUUCCUUUCAUUGGCUCGUAAAACUAAAACUUCCACUGUUGACACUACGGAAAUUAAAAUAGACGAUCAAAAUGAUAAAGAUAGAGAUCAGGGUGGAAGCUCUGGUCACUCCUCUGAAGGCGAAGAGCCAAAAGAUGCAUCUGGCUCGCCUUACGACCCUGACUACAUAUCCAUGGACCUUCCCGGUGGCAUAUGUAGUUGGAAAGACAAAUCAUCGUACUUGAGCGUCGAGACACCAGUUGUUGAUGACGCUGUAGAUGAACCUGUGUCUAGGGAGGAUAUACUAACCACCCUACCCAUAGCACCAGCCCCAUCCUCAUCCAAACAGGAGCCGGAGGAGACACCACUGAGGACCGCAAAGGAUGAAUUAUCUAACGAUAUAGAAACACUGCUUGAAGAGAUAAGGGAUGUACAAACACGCUUAUCGGACCUACCCGACGACAGUCUGGAGACCAUGGAGGAAGGCCUCAGGGAGGGCAUCACAAUUCUAGUCAAGUGCGAAGAAGCGGCGGAGAUCUUGGAGACGAAGAUCAUGGAGUACCGGCAGGAGCAGGAGGUGCAGUCCCUGCUCAAGGAGCUGGUCGUCAUGAAGGUCAGGAUCAGCAAGUUGCUGACGCAGGCCAGGGACGGCAUCAACAUCAUCCAGGUAAGAAAGGACGCCAAAGUGGAGGUGGCUCGCCAGGCGAAGGAGGUUGAAGAGCAGAAGGAGAAAAUCGCUAAACUGGACAAGUGGCUGGAGACCAUCAACAAUGGACUCAAGGAGACCACCGUGCAGUCAGAAGUUCUCACAGAGGAAGAUAUUAUUCGAUAUAUUGAAGUUUACGAGCGCUACAUCAGGGAGUACGAGGAGUAUGAGAUUAUACUGAAGUCAAUAACUGUGAUAAGUCAAGAUGAAUCUAGUCAGUCAUUAAGGGCGAAGUUGAAUGCUACACAGAAGGCGUUAGAGGAAACGAAACAUCUAGUCAUUAUAGAGAUAGAGAGGUUAAGACAAGUGCUGCUGCAGAUGAGAUUAGUACCAGAAGCUGUCGAGGAGGACAUCUCGCAGACUGACAGGACAAUCGACUCAACAUCGAUGCCUGAAGAAGUCGUGUCGCCGAGAGAAAUCGUCAAAGAAAAAGAACCAUCAGAGAAAGCACCAUCGGUUAAACAGCCGUCCGUCGAAGAAAGUGUGAAAGUUACAGUACAGGAAAGCAAACCUAGUCACGAGAAGCCUGAACCAAUUCAGGUUGUCAAAGAAACUGUGGCAAUGGAAACGCAGACCGGCAAGAGUCUCAUGUCAGAACCUCCAUCCGUGUCUGACAAAUCUGUGAUAUGCCAACCAGAGGCGAUUGUGACGCAUGACGUGUCCAUCACGUGCGCUCCUCCUAUGGAAAUGGCAGUACAAACUAGUGAACCACACUCUGAAACUAAAGAAAUCCUAGAAAACAUCCAAGUCAGACAGACAAUUUCUGACGGUCAUGAGACUAUUGAAAUUGCCAGCAGACCUGUGAUUAGAGAGCAGAAACUUGAUGAGAAAUCUCUUCUAGUUGAUGCUAACUACAGGGAUGAUAACUUAAGAAAAGAUUCUCAACUGAAUAUUACUCAUAGUCUGCCACAGUCCUUCGAGACAGUAAUGACGGAACCCGAUGAAACAACCACAGAAGUAGUAGUCGACGCUGAUGGUACUAGGAGGAUUAUUGUGAAGAAGGUCCGAAAGACCUUAGUCACACGGCAGCAGGUAGUUCAUAGCCAACAACGUGAAUCUCAUAUACUAUCAAGUGACCUCCCACUAGACCAGGCUUACUCCCAAAUAGUUAUUCAUGAUGAGAAAGCUGGAACAUCUACAACCUUGGAUGAUGGUGCAGUACAACACAUGGAAUACCAGACUUUCGGUGGUCAGGUAAUAACUAGUUUACCUGGAGGAGAAGUAACGAUCCAAGAAUUCACAUCUAAACCAGACAUGAUGAUAACUAUGGAGAAGGAUAUGAACCCAGAGCAGAUACUAUUACUAGCUGAGGGUCAAGAACUACCGCAAGUGCAGACCUCUACAUCAAGUGUAACGGCAGUCGUUCAACAAGUCACAAAGAGAAUAGUCAAAACGCGUAGGCGUAUCAUACGUCGCGUUGUUAUCAUUGACGGCAAAGAACACGUUACCGAAGAAAUUGUUGAAGAACCUGAUAAUGUAGAAGUCGUAGAAGAACAGAUUCCAAGGGUUUCUAUCAACGUCAGGGAGAGAGGAGACGUACCAACAACUGGCGAAGAAAAUGAUGACGAUGGUGGAGGCGAUCACCCUGCCCUACCUCCUCACAAAGAUGAUGAGUCUUCUCGUGGUGAUAUACCAAGAGAUGACAAACCAUCUGGAGAUAAGCCCGACGAUGAUAAUAUUAAGAGAAAACCUAAAGAUGAUCAAGAACCAACACAACAAGUAGAUGAACCAAUUGAGCUUACCCAGGCUCAACAACUAGAGAAAAUGAUGCAGGACUUCAUACAAAAGGAAAGCAGCAGUCAGCGUAAGCAUGUCACAAAAACUACUACUACACGCUCUUCCCAAGAACGAGAAGGCACUCCAGUAAAAACAGUGACGGUGUCAGAAUCUUUUGAAAUUCUGCCAGGUGAUGAAAUGCAUAUAACACAAGAACCUGAUGAAACUACCUACACUGUACAAGAACCUCACGAAGGCCAGACUACAUUCAUAACUCAUGGAACGCAGCAUUCAACCUUUGAAUCUUCUUCAACCAAUGUGGCUACUGUCGUACAGAAGGUCACUAGAAAGAUUACAAGAACACGGAAACGUAUUAUCAAGCACAUACAAAUUAUAGACGGCAAAGAACAUGUUACUGAAGAAGUAAUUGAAGAACCAGAUGAUGUUGAAAUCAUCGAAGAGGAACCCAAUGUAUCACACAGCAUACAAACUGAAGGCGUUAAAACAAAACGCAUUAAAAUCAUUAAACAAGUGCAGAUAAUAGAUGGUAAAGAACAUGUAACUGAACAAAUCGUUGAAGAACCAGAUGAUGAAUACAUUCCUGAUUCGACUAUUACUACUGAAAUUGACGUCUCGUUAAGCAAGCCUGAUGUUUUGGAAGUUAUUCAAGAAGAUGAGAAAGUAGACCACCCAAUUACUAGGUCAACCACCGUUACUGUAAUGCCGUCAUCUAAAGACACAACCAUCGUAGAUGUGACUAAGAGCUUUAUCGGCACAGAAAUGCUCCAUUCCGUGCCUUCAGCUUUGGAAGAACCGAGUGAUAAACCUGAUUCAUCUGUUAAAAUCGUUGAAGAAGUUUUGAAGAUUAGUGAGCCCAAAACUACCACCAUAGUUACAUCAGCAGAACCGGAUGUAAUCAAAACAACUACAGUAACUAAACAUUCUUCAACUGAAGUUACUACUGUGACUUCUACUGAUCAACAAAAGACAAGUUUGAUAGAUGCUACAAAGAGUUUGCUUGGAAGCGAAAUCGGACAUUCAUUCUCACCUCAAGAUGUUACAAAGAAACCUAAAGAUGACAAAACACCAAUUGAAGAAGUCGAAUUCAUUAAAUCCGGAAGCCCAGAUGCUACAGUGAUCACUAAAACGGUUACUGUAACUGGACCAACGGAACAAUCUAAGACGGUCACAACCAUUACUACGUCUGAGAAAUCAGGUCCCGUAGUCACACAAAAAGAAACUGUUACAGUUGUAGGCUCUACUGAAAUAAUACCUUCCACAAAACCGAUUGAAGAAGAAAAAGUUCCUAAACAGGUCCCACAAGACAAAACUCAGGAGCCAGAUACGGUAAUGCAAAAGAUUCAAGAAACUGUCCAAUCUACUGAACCUGAAAUUUCAGUUACUACUAAAACGACAAAAACAACUAAAGUGACUGAAGUAGCCACUGAAAAACCAGUUGUUAUUGAAACUGUAACUAAAACAACAGUUACUGAGGUUCCUGAAACAAAUGGCUUUAAAGAUACCAGUCUCAUUGAUAUAACUAAGAGCUUGAUUGGCAGUGAAACGGAUCAUUCUGCCAUUUCUAAAAUACCAGCAUCACCUGUUAAGGCACCGAAAGAUGUUAAACAGGUUGUGGAGAAAGAACCUGAAGCUCCUAAGGAACCAGAGCCACUGAAGUCAGUUGAUGAGAAACUGCCUAAGGACGAAGAACUAAAGCCCAAAGUAACGGUAGAAAUGAAGUUGACUGAAGAACGUUUGCCUGACAAGGAACUUCAUAAACAACCAACAGAAAUCAUUGAAACAACUGUCCAGUCACAAAAGGAUACAUCUCUACAUGAUAUUACAAAGAGCUUCCUUGGAACUGAAAUCGACCAUUCUACAAUUCACAAACCUGUAGAAAAGCCUCAAAAACCAGAUGUUAUUCCUGAAAAACCGAAAUCAGAUGAGCCAUCUAAACGGGAAGAGACAAUAACUGUUGAUGGUGGCAAAGCAGUCACCAGUGUAACUACAACAACAACAAGUGUGCAAGAAUCAGUAGUUUCCAAAGCACCUGAAACUGUCAAAAUCGUUAAAGAAACUAUUGAAGUUGAACCACAACCUAUUAGCAUAACUGAGGAAAUUGUGGUACCUACACCCGAGUUGGCUCAAGCUGUAGAAGUGACUCCUGUGACUCCUGCCAGUCAACCAGAUGAGCCUAAGGACAGCGGUCUCGUUGAUCUUACUAAGAGCUUUAUUGGCAGCGAGAUGGACCAUACAGUGGUGUCCAAAAUACCUGCUGUACCCAUUAAAAGAGAGUUUUCACUUGAAAUGGCUGUUGAAGCUAUGGAAGAACCUAAACCUGUGCCUGAAACUGUAACGCCUGUCAAAGAAACAGUAGCUCCAGAAACUGUCACCACAACCAAAGUAACGGAAACAAUUGAAAAGUUAAUCACACCUGAAUCUGUCAAGCCAGGUAUUCCUGUGGAGGAUAAGAAAAUUGAAGAAACGGCUAAACUAACCGAAGAGCAUGUUAUACCAGAACAGAAACCAACAGAUAUCAGCGUGGAGUUUGUCACAAAAGAAAUAACUGAACAAACUGGUGUGACGCAAUUCAACAUCUCUGAAUUCACUAAAGAGUUUAUAGACAAGGAGAGCAUUCAACAUGAAAGUAUUCCAGCUUCUGCCAAGCCUGAAGAAAAGCCUUCAGAUAAACCACUGGCUGACAUUCCAAAAGACGUUUCUGAGACUAGUGUCAAAGAAGUUACUGAAAUAUCUGUUGGUACUGUUACAGAACCAGAGCCAAAACAACCUGAUGAUAAAUCAUCGUCAGUAUAUAUCUCUAUUAAAGAACAAGCAAUCCCAGAACCCAAAGAUGAUGUACCUUCAGUUGCAAAGGAUAUUAAACCUCUAGAACCAGUUAUACAAGAACCUGAACAAAUUCAACAACAGCCUAUUCCAGUGCCUAAGGAAGAUACACCUAAAUCUAUUGAAGAUGGUUUCCUACAAACUGAGACUACCACACCACAAAUUGGCAUUGUUGAACUAACUAAAGAACUUAUUAUCAAAGAAGGAACCGAAAAAUAUGAACAAGUUCCUGAAACUAUCAAGACUGACAUUGAGCUGGUCGUGAGUCACGUUACGACUGAAAAGGCACCAACACAGUCUACGGUAGAAGUGGAACCAUUGAAAGUAGGAACAGUUAUUUCGGAAUCUGAUGUAACUGAAACUCCUGUGGCACCCGAAACGUCUUAUAUCAGACAGUUUGAGCCCCAAGUCCAAGGUUCUUCUGACAGUGUGAACAAACUCUUGAUGACAUUUGGCCAGCCUGAGACACAAGAUGUUCCUUCACAAACUACUGAAUUCGUUGGUCCUUCUCAACCAACGAUAACUAAACCUGAUACUAAAUAUGAUGUGUCCAUGUUACUUCAGUCUGAACGUCAAGACACCGAUCUGCGAGGAUUCAAACCUGAUACUCAAGUUACACAACCCGACAAGCCAGAGCAGACAGUAGAUAUAUCUUUGUCCUUAACUAAAUCCCGAGAGCCAAAGAAGGUUGAACCUAAAGUACAAUAUGAUUUGAAGGUUGCAGAUUUCGAAGCUGAGCCGAUCGUUGUCAAGAAAGAUAUUGAAGUGGUUCUGCCAAGCGAAGUAAAGAUCACGAAAGAACAUGUCAAAGUUCCUGUUGCUGAUGUUGUUGCAGAACAACCUCAAAAAGAAAUCACACCGCCAGAAUCAGUUAAAGAACAUAAGAAGAGCAGAAAGAAGAAAAAGCAUAAGGCUGGUUCAACAACAAGCGAGUCUACUGAAAUUGAAACAGACAAAAGCAUUGCUGGUACUGAUAGUUCAUCUCUCAGUCACUAUGUGGAACUUCCGACUUCGCCUCCACGUGAAUCUCCUACACCAACAGAAGAGGUACUCGAGACAGUUGUCCAAGAAACAAUUCCUGAACCGGUAAAAGAACCGUCACCAGUCGUUAAAACUGCAUCACCAGAACCUAUUGUAGAACCUGUUGUACCUGAAGAACCUAAAGUUGAAACACCAGCAGAACAAAUUAUUGAAGAACCACAGAUACCUGUGAUCGAAGACUCGUAUGUUGAAUCUGAGUCUCUGACCAUAUCAGAGGAACGAGGAUAUGAGGCUGAGGACAUUUCUUUGGGUCCAGUAGCAACACCUGACAAAAAGAAGAAACAUAAGAAACGAAAGCCUCAUGGGGUUAGUGAGGAAACUGCUUACCCUGUAAUCACUACAACUGAGACUGAUGAUACAACUGUGACCACACCAGUUGAAAUGCAGGAACCUUCUAAGAAGAAAGAUAAGAAACGUAAGAGGAAAACACCUGCUGAACCAGCGAAGUCUCCUUCAGAGCCUGAUCUAGAACCAGAACCGAUAGUGGAACCAGUACCUGAAGUGAAACCUGAAAGUCCUAAACAAGGAACUGAAGUAGAAGCUACAUCACCUAAGGAGGAAUCCUACCAUACAAUAAGCGAAACUUCAGACAUCACCACGGUCAAGAUCGUUGAAGAAUGCGUCCAAAGCAGUCCUGAGACGGCUGAAAGGGAAGUAGGAACCAUUCUUAAAUUCCCAGUUCCAGUUGUUGAAGAAAUCGUCACUCAGGAAUAUUCUAUUCAAACAUCACCUGAGGAAACCGAGCCUAUCGAGGAGAUAUCCCGACCUGAAACGUCUGACAUUGAACUGCAAACAACGCCAACAUCUAUGAGCGAAGUCAUUACACAAACCACGCCGGUAGAAGAUAAAGAAGCUCACACACAAACUAUUGAAGAAGUCACUACUGUUGUUGAAAAGAUAAUGUCUGAUACAGAAAUACAAACUAGUAGGUCUGAAACUCCCGAAAAAAUUGUUCAACUGGAAGCCACGACUCAGGUUAUUCCUCAUGAUAUCAGCACACCUGAAGAGAAGUUCUCACAGACCUCUCCGGUUGUUGAAGAACCUGUUGUUGUACCAGAAAAAUCAAUAACACCUGAGAUUGUUACAGAAUCAAGAGAAAUGCAAACUUCACCCUUACCUGUUGUACAGAAAGAUGAGAAGAGUACUGAAGUCCUUGUCGAAACCACUGAAACGGAUAUUCAGACUGUUCAACGAGAAAUCACAGAACAAGGAACAUCAACUACUCCUGUUAAAGAGAAAGAGCUGACCGAGAUGGGAAUGCAAACACCUGAAGUUCCUCUUGUUAGUGCUUUCACUCAGUCUGAUGUGCCUGAACCAGAGCCUGUUAAAGAAGUCGAGCCGAUUGAAAUCCCAGAUGUACCUUCACUACCUUCACUUGAGAUCAAGAAGGAAGUCAUCACAGUUGACAGCACACAGCAAACGACUCCAAGAGAAGAAGUGGUUGCUCCAACACUGGAAGUUAAGGAGGAGGUUAUUACUGUUGAUACAUCACAGCAAACCACCCCGAGAGAACCGGAACCGGUAGUACAAGAAGUUCCAGUAGUCCCAGAAGUACCAAAAGUACCAUCACCUCCUGUGGAACAGGCACCGGAACCUGAGCCAACACCAGUCGUUGAAUCAGUCAUUGCACCUGUUGUUGAACCAAAGAAGGAAAUUAUUACUAUGGACAGCACACAACAAACUUCUCCGAGAUGGCCACCUGUUGUAGCAGCGGCUCCAGAGCCAGUCCCGGUACUAGACCUGCAAAGGAGAGAAGUCGUUACAAUUGACAGCACUCAACAAACAUCACCUAGAGUUUAUUCUGAAGACUCCAUUUCUACAUCUACGGAUGAGCCUUACGAAGUCCAUCUUAGAGCUCAGAUCUCCAUUCCUCAAGCUACAACUGACUUCAUCGAGAGUGAACGCUCCUUUGAAGAACCUCCGCAAUCAAUUUUGGGUGACAAAUACAAACAGAGGAAACGGAAACCCAAGAAGAAAACAGAGUCUCCUCUUGUACAAUCACCGGAAAGUCUGUCAGAUCCUAUCAACACAGAACUUUCUUUGUCCAUGACACCGACAAGUGAAGAUAUGUCACUCAAGGACGCUUCUUCGAUAGAUGAAGGAAUCUCUCAAUUGGUUAGCCCGAUGAUGCCUAAGCAACCUCAACACAAGUUAACUUAUUCCGACGUUGUGCAAAGAUCUAAAUCAAAAUCUCCAUCACCAAGCAAAACCAUCAUCCCUCAGAAAUCAGAGAAGGCUCGACUGCUAGACGCUCUUGAAAAGAGAACUCAAUCAGUAACAGAACCGCAGAAGACCAUACCUGACGAUUCCAUGACUGUUGCAUUAUUAGAGCCCUCAGUUGAGAAAUCAUACAAUCUUGUCGUCAACAAAGAAUUAGAUGAAUUGAAGAAUUCGAUAGAAAGCAAUGAUCCAGUUCGUACAGAAAGAAGUGUUAUUAUAGUCAUUGAAACUAUUUCAAUAUGGCUAGAAGAAAUACAGUACAAGAUCCAAAGACAGACCGUCAGCGGCGUCAAGCCGACAGAGGAAGCUGAGCGUCUGAAGUCACUCAAGAAGCACGUGCAAGAUUUGAGGACCAUCAUUGAAGUGACUGAAGUGAAUGAGGAGAUUAUUACUUUGAUCGAAACAUUAACGCGUCAAGUGAACGCGGUUAAUACUUUGAACAGUCAAAGCUCGGACAAAGUAAAACAAGUGGAACGCGAAUGGAUCAAGUUUUUGGAAGACACAGACAAACUGAGUGACUCCGUAGAAGCAGUCAAGAGUACACUUGACGAUAUCAUACUUUCAGAAAUACCAACGCAACAGAAAUUGGACAAGUUAGACAAAAUUGAAACGGAUAACUUGGACAAUAUUGUAAACGUCAGGAAAAUGUUCAAGAGAUGUCGCAGUUUAGUCGAAGCGAACCCUAAGAGGGAGUGCCCAUCUAAAUUAUACAAUGCCGAUGAUGACACUAAACAAGUGGAGAAUACUAUCAACACAGAAAGAGAUAGACUGUUACAACUAGCUUCUCUCGCGGAAGAAUAUGAACAAACUCUACAGGACUUUGGGCAGAUUACUGAUGUCGCAGAAGCUUUGCUCGAUGGCAAGAUCAUCGUAUCAGACUUAGACCAUCUGCAUGAGGAAAUUCAAAAGCACAGAAAAUUCUUCGUAAACCUGAGCCAUUGCAGAGCUAUCCUCGAAUCACUGGAAGACAACUUAGACAGUGAAACCAGAGCAAAGUUCUCAUCGUUGCAUAAUUCACUGCAUGACAGAGCUACAGUUAUCAUCGACAGGGCUGCGAGUCGAGCUCAACAAAUGACCCUGGCAGCGUCAAGAUGGUCGCUUCUGCAACACGGCAUGAAGGAGGAACAGCAAUGGCUCGUGGUAGCUCAGCAGAGAGUCCCAGACCUGAGCAACGUGACAUCAAGAGAUCACGAACAGUACAUCAAUCUCUAUCAGUCCAUUAGCUUGGACGUCUCUCAUCAUUACGCAAAGAUGCUGCGUUUGUUGUCCAUUACUGAAAGUCUACAGAACUUGAUAGUAUGUUCCGGCUUAGAAACGGAGUGUUCUGUAGCGCUUGAUACGCUGCUGAAACUUCAGGAGGAUGUAGACUCGAGGUUGACUAGACUGACAGCCUUCAAAGAGAACUGGAUGACAUACGACUUGCUCAUCGAUAGGAUUGAAGGAUGGAUGAAGAUUGCCAACAGAGAGCUAGAGUUCAUAACUCCAGAGAACAUUACAACAACUGGCAACCUCAGAAGGUUCUGGGAACUUAAGGCUCAACACGAAGUCCACAACAACUUGAAGAAUGAAUCAGGAGUACAAUUCGAAAAGGCUCUCGAAAUCUUACCAGUCUCUGACGAAAUGGUGCAACGUCAAUUCUUCUCUAAGAUCGAAGACAAAUGGAGUGACUUGGCAUCAAAGAUCGACAACAUCCACUCGUCUGCUAUUCAGAACAUCUCAGACCGUGAUGUGUCCUCGGGUGAAAAGCUUAACAUCCUGGAAGAAGAACUAAGAGAACUUCGCGCUUCAUUGGAAAGCCUUAAAGGCGUGAUCAAGAGCGAAGACGAACUGAACCUGUACAUUGAAAGACUGCAAGUUAUGACUGGACGCAUCGAUAGGAUACAGAACGAGUUAGGCAGAUUGAGCUUAUUGCCUACUGCUGAAUCAGAGCGCCUCGGUGCUUUGUUGACGCAGUCUGGCAUUCUGAACGAUCAGAUAUCUGAGGAGUUGGAGCGCAGCAUGUUGCUGAAGGAGAAGAUAGUGCAGGUGCAGGUCGGCAUUCAAAGAUGCCAGAAGAGUCAGCGCCGAGCUCGGUUGACGCUUGAAGAGUGCGAAGCUGCUGAAAGACUGGGAAGUGAUGUGGUGGAGAGGGCUUCGGAGAACUGUGACAAGCUGAUAGAAGAGUUAGCGUCUCAAUGGCGCGAUAUUCUGGCGCUGCGGCAGUCGCUGCACACGCUGCCGACCAGUCUGCGUGUCGUCGUGUCGCCCACGGGCGUCGAGAAAGACAUCUCUGCUUUGCAGGAAACCCACGCAGAGCUAGAAGCAGCUUGCAGCGACCUGAGCAGCCGGCUCCGCUUCAAGCUGUACCUGUGGCGACGCUUCGAGAGACAGCUCGAGCUGGUGCAGGGCGCCGUGAGGGAAGCUGACUACAUGGUGGAACUCCUCACCGUGCAGGGACAAGUGGACUAUGAUCGCCUGCUGAAGGCCACUGAGAAACUUGAGACCCUGAGCGAGUCACUCUCGCGCCGCAGCGGCGAGCUGGUCGGCGAGCUGACCGCCGCCGCCGAGCCUCUCGAAGCUUCCACCGAGCCGUCCGUGGCCGCCAGCCUGCGCAGAGAGCUGGACGACGCCGCCGCUGCCUACGAGCACACCUGCACUAACCUCAACCAGCUGUGUGACAAGUACCACAAAGCAGUGGAACUCUGGAAGCGUUACCGCGACGCGGCGGCUGCCGUGCGCGCGUUCGCGGACUUCCAGGAGCAGCGCAUACACGCGCUGCGCCCUGACGACGCGCCCAACACUGCGCAAGCAUGCUUAGAACAGGAGGCCCGCGUAGCCGAACUCCGUUCUCUAGCUGCGCGUGUCGCCGCAGAAACUGGGUCCCGGGCCUUACAAGCUGAUGCUGAUGCACUGGCGCGAAGAUUGCAGCUCGUGGCCGGUGCAGUGCAGGCGUUAGCUGACCUGGGUGAAGCCAGGCAGCUGGCCAGGGCUAAGGCACAGCAUGCGAAGGAGAAGCUGUGUGAUAUGAGACAGGACCUGACUCCUGUGCACGAAGACGGUGAAAUAGUCGAAGACAAACUGAUCGCUCUUCGUGAUAACUUAAUAGCUCUCGGUAAGAGCGAAGCAGACAUCGCCCCAGCGAAGGCUGAGCUCCCAGACAUUGACAGAGACGUUUCAGACGAACACUCGAUAGUGAGGAUCUUAGAACUAUGGCAGGCCAUGUUCAGAGAUACCUUCCUCCACUACCAUCGGCUAUCCACCGCACUCGUCAGGUCUGGAGACGCAGCGACAGCGCUGAGACUCUGGCACGAAUACCUAAUAGAUCUGCAAUCAUUCUUAUCUGGCUCAGUACCGGCUGACUACGAAAACCUCACGGAACACCGCCGACUGUGCAGGGUCCAUAAAAACCUGCUGACAUCACAGAGGUCAGUUCUCAUGAACGAGAACAGAGAAACAAGGAACCGGGACUUAGCAGAUAAGUUUGAUACGCUCACGAACCUACACAAUGAGACAUUAGCCAGAAUAGUUGAACGACACGAUGAAGUGUGCACUCGGAUAGCCGCGUGGGAUGACUACAAAGAAGUUUACACGGAACUACUUAGGUGGCUCAAAGAAAUGGAACGAGAGAAGGAAAAGCUCCAACUCAGAUACGUACACAUAAAGAGGAUACAGAAAAUACUUUCCAAGAUACAGAAUCUCUCAGACAAGAUCCCUGAAGGUAGACGACAAUCUGACAAAUUGCUGAGUGACCUGAAGAAGGUGCUCGAAUUCACGGAAGAAGCUUACGCGACAUCUGUGAGAAUGGAGUACGCUGGCAUUGUUAAGCGGGUCGAUAACCUCCAAGCUAGCCUCGACACGUGGAGAGACUUCCUCAACAGGAUACUUGGCUUGAUUAAUGAAUACGAAAACCUGACGAACAAUGAACUGCACAAACUGUACUCGAAGACUCAAGAAGAAAUCAUGACUUACUCUGAUGAAGAUAAGUUAUCCAGGCCACAGCUCAAGAAAGCUAUCGACAGGUACUCUGAGUUAAGGAUAAAGAUUGUUAAAACUGAAACACAGAUUGAAGCUCUCAGCGUUAUUCAGGAACAACUCAAGGAAUGUUUAAGUCCUCAGGACAUUAGGUUAGUGAACCAGAGGGUCUGGCAGCUGCGACAACAGCGCGCCGACCUGGAACAUCAGCUGUCCAUCAUCAUCCACAGAUUACAGGAAAGGUUAGAAGUGUACACGAUAUUCGAUUCCCGUCUCUCACGAUUUGUUGAAUGGAUCAGCACACUGGAAACACGCCUGGAAGCUUCAACUCAGAGCACUGAAAUUGGAGCUAUUGAUCCACAAGACUUGAUCAGAAGGAUAAACUCCGAAGUUCAAGCUGAAACAGCAAUGAAGGAACGUGAAUUCGAAUGGCUCACUGAAACUGGCUCCUCUCUAGUCGAAUUAUCCAAGAAAGACGAAAAGUCUUACAGUAAAAACACAUCUAAGCAACUAAAAGACAUACAAGAACGGUGGUACAAGAUGCAAGAAACUGGAAGAUCAAGAAUAGCUAAGAUUAACGAGCUCUUGGAAACAAUCUCGCAACUAGAAGUACGGCUUACUGAAAUUAGGAUUAAUCUACAUUCCAUAGAAUCUAACUUAUCUACUCCUGUUGUAUUGGAGCAACUAACGACUACUGCUGUUACUGAAAAGUUCAAAGACCGCGAUGACAUACACAAGGUUAUUGAAAAGCAAAGCGGAGAGGUCGGAGAGACUCUGAACCUCUGCGAGCUUGUUUUCAACGACCCUGACGUACUCAAAGGUAACUUUGACCUCCGCAACCUUCACACUGGCGUCGACAUUGUAGAAAAGAUAUGGAAGAACAUCUGUGAGAUGUCCGAACUGCGAAAGAAUGCGCUCAAAGAGAUAUGCAAAUCCGCUGAACUGGCGCACUCGUUACUGCCUAAAGUGGAGAAGAAACUCGAAUCUAUUGAAAGGCGAGUGGAGAAGAUUGAGACUAGGAAGCAACGGGGCGAGCCUGAAGACGAGAGUGUUUCUAAAGCUGUGAUAAAGGAUUUGGAUGGUUUGGAAGGGGAUGUGAAGAGGUUAGAGGACGCUUACAGCCGUAUAGCUGCGGCUCGAGGCGUGGAGCUUCGAGGAGUUGGAGCGGACGACGGUGCGCGGCUCCGCGCGGGCGUACGGCGCUGGCAGCAGCUGCGCGCGCGGAUCAUGGCUGCCGGGGCGGAUCAGCACCGACAGUUCGUGGCCGCACACGGUCGGGCGGUGGUGGCGCUGGCUGAAGCCGAUGUAAGGCUGACGAGAGCGUUACAUCUUGCACCCACACCGCUUGACAAGGACACCGCUUUGAAAGAACUUGCUGGUGUCGAACAAGAACUCCUAGAAUGCCAGGAGCUGGUAGAAGACGCAGACCGACUGGCGGCCGCAGUGUCGACAGUGUCGGGAGUGUCGGACAUGGUGUCAGAGUACCGCGCUCUGUUCGCGGACGUCAGGACCAGGCUCGACCUCGCGCGUGCUGAGGUCGUCGGCGAUGUUGAUUCUGCUGUACAGGUGGACACCCUCAAAUGGGAAACGGACGCUGCCCUCCAAGUAGAUACCCUCACGUCCAAGGAAACCUAUAGAGCAGAACUAGCGAUCGCUGUCAAAGAGACUUCAGAAGCUUUAGACGCACUCCGAACUGCCCUAGACACACAACCUAACGAGAAGGCGAGCAGUGACGAACUUGCCACUGCCGCCAAGGAAAUAGCCAAAGCUGGUGCCAAACCUGGACAGACACUGGAGCUCGCCAAGCAUCUCUCAGAACUACUCCUGACGGAAUGCGACGCCACAGAAGACGAGGCCAUGCUCAAACAAGUUGAAUCUCUCUCCCUUACCUACGAAGAUCUGCUCAGCCAAGCGAAGAAACGCGAACUACAAAUCAACAACUUGAGGUUGCCCCACUCAGCGUCGUACGCGCUCACGUGCGAACAUGAGUCCGGCCGGCUGACGUGUCCGCUGUGCUCGGAGCGUAACUGGAAGCAGUUGGACAAUGACCUGUGGCGGCUGGAGCAGUGGCUGCAGUUCGCUGAGGCUACUGAUGAUGCCAGGACCGGACCUCCUGAGCAGUAUGAUGCGCUUGAAGAUGUUAUACAGGACCACCGUGAAUUCCUCCUGGACUUAGACUCGCACAAAUCGAUAGUAGUAUCCCUCAACGUGGUGGGGUCCCACGUGGCGGCGCACGCCCGCUCCGGCGCCGCCGCCGAGCGCGUGCGCGCCCGCCUCGCCGCCGACAACGCGCGCUGGGACGCCGCCUGCCGCCGCGCACACGACUGGCAGGCACAGCUCCAACGAGCUUUGCUACACAACCGACAGUUCCACGACAUCGUAGUGGAGUUGGUUGCUCAACUCGCGGCAGCUGAGAAGACUGUGCGAGCUAGAGAACCGCUGCGUCUAGGUCGUGAGCCAGCUGAGCUGCAGCGUGACUUCCGACGGUUUGCUGAGUUGCGUGACGAGCUGAGACGAGCUGAGCCGCGAGUGUUAGCGUUACACGAGGCAGCGGCGUUGCUGGCGCCGGGAGCAGGCCCGCACACGAGGCUCUCGGAGCUGAGACUACGGUUGCAGUCGCUGCGCAAGCUGUGCUCGGUGUACGCGCUGAAGCUGGGAGCUGCUCUCGCGCACCGCCCCGCCGGCAGCAUGCACGGCCUCGCUGCCGCCGCCGCCACGCUCGCACCACAGCUAAUGGAGGAGGACGAGGAAGAACUGUCGGCGUUGCACCUUCCGCCGCUCGACGAGACACAGUAAGUACACUCGCGUAGUAUUUGUAGUCAGUGAUGCACUUUUGACGCUCUGAGACUUUUUAAACUACGUAUUGAGGUGAUAUUCCUAAGAUGAUGAAUGAGUGAUGAGAAUGUAAAAUUAUAAGACGAUGAUGACAGGAGUGACGAAUGUAAAAGUGAAUGAUAGACCAUACCAAAGAUGGAUAGAUGUAUUUUGUGGAUAAUUGGGAAGCGGAUGAUGAAUUAACGGUUGAAAGAAAGGAAUGAGAGAUUAGGGAGGCAUGAAAAGUAUUUGCUAAGACCAAAGAGUUAGACGUCAAAAGUGUGUCAUCGAUAAAAAUUUAGUUUGAACGCCUAACCACCUCUUAUUUUGCGUAACAGUUUUCCAAUGUAGUCUAGUCAAUUUCUGUUAAUUUUGUUUUCUCUCUAAGUAAAAAAGACUCCAAGAUCUCUUUCUUGCGAUUAUUUUCUGUCCUGUUUCAAUGUUAUUUUCUCUUACAAAAAUAUUGAAGCCGUUUUUGCAGUUGACGUUUGAUAUCAGUAGUCAUCAGUUUAAUUAAAUUAGACAAAAUGUCGUCAAAAUUGGGUUGUACCGUUUAAUUAUCACAAUAACGUGAACCAUAACCAGGCGUGAAUUUGCCGCUCAUUGGUCAAAUCGGGGAUUUGACAGCCGUUUAUGGUGUGGUUAUCGUUUAAUAGUUAAAUGGCGCAACCCACAUUACGCAUCAAAUAAUUUAUACUGACAUCAACUGCAAAACCGGCUCCCUCCCACAACAAAACUAAUGAACACCUUACCUGUGCAGACCGGUAGUGGAUGAUGCGUCCCCCGGCGACGAGGAGGGCUCGCUGUUCGGCCUGCA